GAGUUGACGCACAAGACGAGGACUCCUGUUACCCGUGGCUUCGAAUGCAUUAUAUAAACUGAGGCUAGACUAGUCUUACACAACAUUCUCCUGUUAGAUACACGUACUCUCAUCAACACAAUUCCUAGGUGGAAAUUUGUGCAUAGCAACCUUUUGAGAAUCAUUGAACUUUUNNNNNNNNNNNNNNNNNNNNNNNNNNNNNNNNNNNNNNNNNNNNNNNNNNNNNNNNNNNNNNNNNNNNNNNNNNNNNNNNNNNNNNNNNNNNNNNNNNNNAAAAAAAUGAGAGAAAAAGAGAGAAGGGACAAUGCUACCACUUUUUCCACACUUGUGCAUAUUAAGCACCAUGAUCUUCAUGAUUGAGAGUCUCUCGUUUUGUCACCACCAUAUAGCUAGUGGGAAAUUUGCAUUAUAUAACUUGGCUUGUAUAUUCCUAUGAUAGGCUUCCUCAAAAUUGCCUUAGGUCUUCGUGAGCAAGCAAGUUAGAUGCACACCCACUAGUUUUCUUUAAGAGCUUUCACAUACUCGUAGCUCUAGUGCAUCAUUUGUAUGGCAAUCCCUACUCAUUCACAUUGAUAUCUAUUGAUGAGCAUCUCCACAACUCAUCGAUAUGCCUAGUUAAUGUGACUAUAUUCUCCUUUUUGUCUUGCAACCUCCACCACAUUCCACACCAUCUAUAGUGCUAUAACCAUGGCUCACGCUCAUGUAUCGCGUGGGAGUUGAAAAGGUUUGAGAAAGUAAAGGUAUGAAACAAUUACUUGGCCAAUACCGGGGUUGUGCAUGAUUUAAAUUCAUUGUGCAAUGAUGAUAGAGCAUAGCCAUACUAUAUGCUUUUGUAGGGAUAACUUUCUUUUGGCCUUGUUAUUUUGAAAGUUCAUGAUUACUUUGCUAGUUUGCUUGAAUUAUUAUUGUUUCCACGUCAAUAGCAAACUAUUGUUUUGAAUCUAAUAGAUCUGAACAUUCACGUCACAUAAGAGGAAUUAUAAAGGAUACCUAUGCUAGGUAGCAUGAAAGCAUCAAAAAUUCAUUCUUUAUCACUUCCCUACUCGAGGACGAGCACGAGUUAAGCUUGGGGAUGCUUGAUACGUCUCAAACGUAUCUAUAAUUUUUGAUGAUUUCACGCUGUUAUCUUGUCUUCUUUGGUUGUUUUAUGUACCUUUUAUAUCUUUUUUGGGACUAACUUAUUAAUUCAGUGCCAAGUGCCAGUUCCUGUUUUUUCCGUGUUUUUGACUCUUUUCAGAUCUGAUUUUGGAACGGAGUCCAAACGGAAGAAAAAGCCUGAAAUGAUUUUUUCCCGAACGGAAGAAGAUCAGGGGGCCUUUGGGCCAAGUCAGGUGGGCUCCAGGGAGCCCACAAGCCCCCACUCUGCCACCAGGGGGGAGGCGGCGGUUGGCAGGCUUGUGGCCUCCCUGGCCGCCCCCUGACCUAGAUCUUUGGCCUAUAAAUUCCCAAAUAUUCCGCAAAAAAUCAGGGGAGCCUCGAAAAUACUUUUCCACCGCCGCAAGCUUCCGUUUCCGCGAGAUCUCAUCUGGAGACCCUUCCCGGCACCCUGCCGGAGGGGACUUUGGAGUUGGAGGGCNNNNNNNNNNUCGCAAAAAAUCAGGGGAGCCUCGAAAAUACUUUUCCGCCGCCGCAAGCUUCCGUUUCUGCGAGAUCUCAUCUAGAGACCCUUCCCGGCACCCUGCCGGAGGGGACUUUGGAGUUGGAGGGCUUCUUCAUCAUCAUCAUCGUCCCUCCAAUGACUCAUGAGUAGUUCACUUCAGACCUACGGGUCCGUAGUUAGUAGGUAGAUGGCUUCUUCUCUCUCUUGGAUCUUCAAUACAAAGUUCUCCAUGAUCUUCAUGGAGAUCUAUCCGAUGUAAUCUUCUUUNNNNNNNNNNNNNNNNNNNNNNNNNNNNNNNNNNNNNNNNNNNNNNNNNNNNNNNNNNNNNNNNNNNNNNNNNNNNNNNNNNNNNNNNNNNNNNNNNNNNCUUUGAGAAAGGGGUUCGCAAGAUGAUAUUCAUCUGUAACCAAACUAUCGCUCAUGAACAAAUAUGUUGUUAAAUUCAUCAGGCUUUGCUUAUAAAGCAAACCACGGUUAAAUUUGAGAGAUGGUACCUCCCUAUAGGUUCUUGUUUCACCAUUUCUGGACAAGGAUUAUGAUUAGAAUAAGCAAGCUCAACUUUUAUGGAGUGUGGUCAGAACUGCAUAGUAAAAGAGCUUGAAUAUGGCAAGACCAACAGAACCAUGACUAGAUAAUUUCAUCCGCUCGAUCAUUUGUUUGGAGGAAAUGGUAAACAACUUUGCCUCCCUGUGAAAAUGUGAUGAUAUAUUAGUUUGAACUGAAAAUGAACAUUUACCCCCAACAUGUACAUGUGAUCCGCAUGUGAACAACAGAAUAUUAUCUACAGGUGGACAACAUGAGAAACACUGUUACUCAUCAUGAACUACACGCCAUUCAACAGCAUCACACUUAUCAUGCACUAAUUUGAAUGAAGUUUUAAGCAUUGCCCACUCUUUGUCUUUAUAUAUAUCCAAACCUUGUACACCUUUUGUAUGUUGCCCCUGUUGGUCAUCAGGUUAUGACUAUAGAACUAUUACUAAACUUUNNNNNNNNNNNNNNNNNNNNNNNNNNNNNNNNNNNNNNNNNNNNNNNNNNNNNNNNNNNNNNNNNNNNNNNNNNNNNNNNNNNNNNNNNNNNNNNNNNNNAUUGAUGAUGUGUCUUUGAAUGGUGCAUGUUGAAAGCACAAAAAGUCUAUAGUUGAAAUAAGUUCAAAAAAAUAAAAUCCCUUUGUAAUAGAUGAGUUUUCGUGCGAAACCAUGAUAUUUCGAAAGAGAGUGUCGAUUUUAUACACGAAGUGCAUCCAUUUUUUACCGUAACCCUGUCAACUUUUUAACACAUGCUAUGUGGGUGAAAUGAUGAUAUCAUGCCAAAUUUCAACCAUUAGAGAGUUAUUUGUAGUGUUUUUUAAUUUUAGGGUCAUUUAACUAAAAUAAUAAACUAAUAUAAAAAAGAGUGAACUAAAAAGAAUCAAAAUAAAAUAAAAUAAACUUAUCAAAGUAUUAAUUUGUUAAAAAGAAUGAACUAAAAAAACCCAAAAAUAAUGAACUAUUUUUUUUAUAAAAUUCUAAUAGCAAAAAGAAUGAACUAAAAAGUUUUUAUAAAACUCUAAUAGCAAAAAAUAAUUAAAAAGCUUUUAUAAAACAAUAGCAAAAAAAUGAAUUAAAAAGUUUUUAUAAAACUAUAAUAGCAAAAAAAUCAACUAAAAAGAAUCAAUUAUUUAUGAUAUUCUUCAAUAGCAAAAAGAAUCAACUAAAAAAUUAAAAUAAUAUUAACUAAAAUUAUCAAAGUAUUUAUUUGUUAAAAACUUUAAUAGUAAAAAAUAAUUUUCAUAAAGUAUUUUUUUCUUACAAACUUCAAUAGAAAUUUUCAUAAAGUAUUUUUUUAAAUCUAAUAAGAAUCAACUAAAAAGAAUCAAUAAAAACUAAAACUUAUGCAACUAAAAUUAUAUAAUAUUUAUGCAACUAAAAUUAUAUAAAAUUUAUGCAACUAAAAUUAUAUAACUAAAGAUAACAAAAUGAAAAAAAAUUAAAAAAUUAAAAACUUAACAAAUCCAAAAAAAUAAAAAAAUACGACCUACUAUGCCAUUACAGCGUGCAUACGACUAGAAACCCUACAUGAUCAUUGGGCGAGGAUGCAGGCCUGCAGAAGGCUGAGUAGGCCCAUAUGCAGAUAGAGUUAGUUUAGGCCCAUAGGCCUGCAUAUGAGAGGAGCUCGACAGGGUUGGCCGCAGCCGCGCUUAUAAACCACUCUCGGCUCCUCUAAGCUAGCGAGGUGGGACUAACCCCGCGCGAGCGCCACGAAUAGCCAUUUAGUCCCGGUUGGUGGCUCCAACCGGGACUAAAGCCCCUUGCUUCCCGCCCUUUCGUGUGCUGAAAAUGAGCUUUAGUCCCGGUUGGUGCAUAAAACCAGGACUAAAGCCCCCACCCCUUUAGUCCCGGUUGGAUCCACCAACCAGGUGAUAACCCACAAGUAUAGGGGAUCGUAACAAUUUACGAGGGUAGAGUAUUCAACCCAAAUUUAUUGAUUCGACACAAGGGGAAGCGAAAGAAUAUUCUCAAGUAUUAGCGGCUGAGUUGUCAAUUCAACCACACCUGAAAGAUUUAGUGUCUGCAGCAAAGUAUCAGUAGCAAAGUAGAGUGAUAGCAGUAGUAGCAACAGUAACGAGUAGGAGCAAAGUAACAGCAGUAGCGGCAGAGUAACAGUAGCAGUAGCGGCAGAGUAACAGUAGCAGCAGCAAAGUAACGUAGCAAGGACGAGUAGUAAAAGACUCGUAGGCAUUGGAUUAGUGAUGGAUGAUUAUGCCGGAUGUGAUUCAUCAUGCAAUAGUUAUAACACGGAGAGAUAAGUGACUAGCUCCAGUUCGUCAAUCUAAUGUAGGCAUGUAUUUCGUAUGUAGUCAUACGUGCUUAGGGAAAAGAACUUGCAUGCCAUCUAUUGUCCAUCCCUCCCGUGGCAGCGGGGUCCUAAUGGAAACUACGGGAUAUUAAGGUUCUCAUUUUAAUAAAGAACCGGACCAACGCAUUAACACUUGGUGAAUACAUGAACUCCUCAUACUAUGGUCAUCUCCGGGAGUGGUUCCAGCUAUUGUCACUCCGGGGUUGCCGGGUCAUAACACAUAGUAGGUCACUACAACUUACAAGAUAGGAUCUAAAACACACAUAUAUUGGCGACAAUAUAAUAGGUUCAGAUCUGAAAUCAUGGCACUCGGGCCCUAGCGACAAGCAUUAAGCAUGGCAAAGUAGUAGCAACAUCAAUCUCAGAACAUAGUGGAUACUAGGGAUCAAUCCCCGUCAAAACUAACUCGAUUACAUGAUAGAUCUCAUCCAACUCAUCACCGUCCAGNNNNNNNNNNUGAACUAUGAAGAGCAUCAUGGAAUUGGCGACGAAGGAAGGUUGAUUAUGACGAUGACGACGAUUUCCCCUCUCCGGAGCCAAAACAGACUCCAGAUCUGCCCUCCAGAUGAAGAACAGGAGGUGGCGGUGCCUCCGUAUCGUAAAACGCGAUGAACUCUUCUCCUUGAUUUUUUUCGGGCGAGACGAACUAAAUAGAGCUGAGGGAGGCGGUGGAGCAACGUGGGCCCCACAAGCCUGGUAGGCACGACCAGGGGAGGUGGUCGCGCCUCUUGGGCUUGUGGCUCACUGGCUCACCUCCUCCGGUGGAUCUUUGCGCAGGUAUUUUUCAUUAAUUCCAGAAAAAUUCUCCGUAAAUUUUCAGGUCAUUCCGAGAACUUUUAUUUGUGCACAAAAACAAUACCAUGGCAAUUCUGGUGAAAACAGCGUUAGUCCGGGUGAGUUCCAUUCAAAUCAUGCAAAUUAGAGUCCAAAACAAGGGCAAAAGAGUUCGGAAAAGUAGAUACGACCGAGGCAUAAUACCAGGACUAAAGCCUUUUGCUUCCCGCCCUUUCAGCUGCUGAAAAGGAGCUUUAGUCCCGGUUGCAGCCACCAACGGGACUAAAGGUGGGGCCAUAUAAGCGGGACUUUGCGGUUUUUCCAAAUCCACUGCUUUCUUCGAAUUCGAUCUCCUCCUCUCCCACGAUGGCGCCGAGACCACAUCGACACCGCCAGGCUGCCAGACCUCAUCGUCGCCUCCCCGAGCCCUGCCCUGACGUCGUCCACCGCUCCCCUCUAUGGGCCCUUCCUACCCCGACGCCGUCGCCGCUGCGUGCCCUGACGUCGCCGUCGCCGUGCCCUGCCCUUGGCGUCGUCGUCGCCGCGCCCUGCCCCGACGUUGUCGUCCCCGCGCGCUCCCCUCAUCAUCGGCCGGCCCCUCCAUCUCCAUCGCUCGCCGCCCCUGGUGAGCUCCUGCAUCUCCAUCGCUCCCCACGUGCUUCCCUCUAUGCAUGAGUGUUAGCUUAAGUUUACUCCCUCCGUUCCUAAAUAAGUCCUUUUAGAGAUGAAUGCACACUCUAAAUUGUCUCUAUAUGCAUCGUAUGUAGUCCUUAAGUGAACCUCUAAAAAGACCAUGUACAUGAAGACUUGUCAAAAUCAUAAAAAUAUUGUGUAAAUUGUGUUUAUAUACAUCCGUAUUUAUACAUACAUUUUAGAGAAAAUUAGGCAUUGUGUGGUUCAAAAUAUUGUGUACAUGAAAACUUGUCAAAAUCAUAAAAAUAUCAUAGUGUUUCAUCUUUUAUGUUGAUUAAGAGAUAUAAACAUGCUUGUGUGGUUACACAAUUCACUUGUUAGAUGUAUUUCUUGGUUAAUCAAGUAAGAAGGAGCAACUGCAACAAAAGACAAUGGCCAAUCACAUGCCCCAUGUCCUAAUCCUUUUUUCGAUAGUGUUCGACAUUACUUGAGGAUAUUUUCCAAUAUGAGGUAUUUAAAAAGUCAUUCAAGUAUAUGAAAUCCUAAAGAUGUAUGUUAGAUAUGAUUAGUGUAACUAUAAGAACAUGUAUGCCCCCACAAUAAUGUUGGAAAUAUGCCCUAGAGGCAAUAAUAAAUUAGUUAUUAUUAUAUUUCCUUGUUCAUAAUAAUCGUUUAUUAUCCAUGCUAUAAUUGUAUUGAUUGGAAACACAAAUACAUGUGUGGAUACAUAGACAAAACACUGUCCCUAGUAAGCCUCUAGUUGACUAGCUCGUUGAUCAAAGAUGGUCAAGGUUUCCUAACCAUAGGCAAGUGUUGUCACUUGAUGACGGGAUCACAUCAUUAGGAGAAUCAUGUGAUGGACUAGACCCAAACUAUGAACGUAGCAUAUUGAUCGUGUCAUUUUAUUGCUAUUAUUUUCCGCGUGUCAAGUAUUUGUUCCUAUGACCACGAGAUCAUAUAAUCCAUUGGCACCGGAGGGAUGCCUUGUGUGCAUCAAACGUCCCAACGUAACUGGGUGACUAUAAAGGUGCUCUACAGGUAUCUCAGAAGGUGUCCGUUGGGUUAGUAUGGAUCAAGACUGAGAUUUUUCACUCCGUAUGACGGAGAGGUAUCUCGGGGCCCUCUCGGUAAUACAACAUCACACACAAGCCUUGCAAGCAAUGUGACUAAGUGUAAGUCACGUGAUCUUAUAUUACGGAACGAGAAAAGAGACUUGCCGGUAACGAGAUUGAAAUAGGUAUGCGGAUACCGACGAUCCAAUCUCGGGCAAGUAACAUACCGAAGGACAAAGGGAAGGACAUACGGGAUUGCCUGAAUCCUUGACACUGAGAUUCAACCGAUAAGUUAUUCGGAGAAUAUGGAGGAUCCAAUAUGGGCAUCCAGGUCCCGCUAUUGGAUAUUGACCGAGGAGUACCUCGGGGCAUGUCUGCAUAGUUCUCGAACCCGUAGGGUUUGCACACUUAAGGUUCAUCGAUGUUUUAGUAUAGUUGAGUUAUAUGUGUGGUUACCGAAUGUUGUUCGGAGUCCCGGAUGAGAUCACGGACGUCAUGAGGGUUUCUGGAAUGGUCUGGAGACGAAGAUUGAUAUAUAGGAUGACCUCAUUCGAUUACUGGAAAGUUUUUGGACAUUACCGGGAAUGUACCGGGAGUGACGAAUGGGUUCCGGAUGUUCACCGGGGGGGGGGGGNNNNNNNNNNNNNNNNNNNNNNNNNNNNNNNNNNNNNNNNNNNNNNNNNNNNNNNNNNNNNNNNNNNNNNNNNNNNNNNNNNNNNNNNNNNNNNNNNNNNCUCAAGCUUGGGGAUGCCCAAGGCACCCCAAGAGAUUCAAGGAUGCCGUAAAAGCCUAAGCUUGGGGAUGCCCCGGGAGGGCAUCCCCUCUCUCGUCUUCAAUCCAUCGGUAACGUUACUUGGGGCUAUAUUUUUAUUCACCACAUGUUAUGUGUUUUUGCUUGGAGCGUCUUGUAUUGUAGGAGUCUUUUAUUUUUGUUGUGUCACAAUCAUCCUUGCUGCACACCUAGAGAGAGAGACAUGCACACACCGUGAUUUUGUCGAGCUUCACUUAUAUCUUUUGGUANNNNNNNNNNNNNNNNNNNNNNNNNNNNNNNNNNNNNNNNNNNNNNNNNNNNNNNNNNNNNNNNNNNNNNNNNNNNNNNNNNNNNNNNNNNNNNNNNNNNNNNNNNNNNNNNNNNNNNNNNNNNNNNNNNNNNNNNNNNNNNNNNNNNNNNNNNNNNNUUGUGCUUCACUUAUAUAUUUUAGAGCACAGCGGUGCGUGGCUUGGUAGUUGAUCUAUGCUUUGAAAGUAGUCUCAAAAGGGGUAGUUAUCCAAAGGGAUACGAAAACUUCCACCUUCAUGUGCAUUGAAUAGUUAGAGAAGUUUGAUUCAUCUCAAUUAGUUUUGAGUUGUGGUUAUGGUAAUAUUAAAGUCAUGCUAGUAAGGUGUUGUGGAUCUAGAAAUACUUGUGUUGAAGUUAGUGAUUCUGUAGCAUGCACGUAUGGUGAACCGCUAUGUGACGAAAUCUGAGCAUGAUUAGUCUAUUGAUUGUCAUCCUUUGUGUGGCGAUCGGGAUCGCGCGAUGGUUUAUACCUACCAACCCUUCCCCUAGGAGUAUGCUUUGAAUGCUUUGUUUCGAUUACUAAGAAAACUUUUGCAACAAGUAUAUGAGUUCUUCAUGACUAAUGUUGAGUCCAUGGUUUAGAUGCACUUUCACCUUCCACCAUCACUAUCUUCUUACUGCCGUGCAACUUUCGCCGGUGCAGAAAACCCACCAUUAGCCUCCCUCAAAACUGCCACCAUACCUACCUACUAUGGCUUUUUCAAAGUCAUUCCGAGAUAUAUUGCCAUGCAACUACCANNNNNNNNNNNNNNNNNNNNNNNNNNNNNNNNNNNNNNNNNNNNNNNNNNNNNNNNNNNNNNNNNNNNNNNNNNNNNNNNNNNNNNNNNNNNNNNNNNNNGAGUUGUGGUUAUGGUAAUAUUAAAGUCAUGCUAGUAAGGUGUUGUGGAUCUAGAAAUACUUGUGUUGAAGUUAGUGAUUCCCGUAGCAUGCACGUAUGGUGAACCGCUAUGUGAUAAAAUCUGAGCAUGAUUAGUAUAUUGAUUGUCAUCCUUUGCGUGGCAGUCGAGAUCGCGCGAUGGUUUAUACCUACCAACCCUUCCCCUAGGAGUAUGCGUUGAAUGCUUUGUUUCGAUUACUAAGAAAACUUUUGCAACAAGUAUAUGAGUUCUUCAUGACUAAUGUUGAGUCCAUGGUUUAGAUGCACUUUCACCUUCCACCAUCACUAUCUUCUUAGUGCCGUGCAACUUUCGUCGGUGCACAAAACCCACCAUUAGCCUCCCUCAAAACAGCCACCAUACCUACCUACUAUGAAUUUUUCAAAGUCAUUCCAAGAUAUAUUGUCAUGCAACUACCACCAUGACAUGUGCCACUGCUACUGCAACAAAAGACCUUCCAACGGCGCCAGAAAUAGGAGUGUUGCUUGAUACUCCUCAGCAACGGCACCAGGAAUCCUUCAGCUGCGGCUACGCCUUAAGGGACUUCCCAGGCAAGUAUGCAAAGGAUUUCCCCGUGGCCUUGGAGCCUUGCGUUGGUGUUCCCUCUAAGCGGAAAGGGUGAUGUAGUGUAGCGGUGGUAAGUACUUCCCUCAGUUUGAGAACCAAGGUAUCAAUCCAGUGGAGGAGUAUCUCAAGAUCCUGCACAAACACAAAAACUUUCUCCCAACGCUAUGAAGGGGUUGUCAAUCCCUUAUAGAUUGUUUGCCAAGUGAGAACUGAAAGCAACAAAGUAAGAAACAAAGUAAAAGCGGAGGUGUAAACUAUGGAUGUGAAUAGACCCGGGGGCCGUAGUGUUUACUAGUGGCUUCUCUCAUGAAAGCAAAUAGACGGUGGGUGAACAAAUUACUGUCGAGCAAUUGAUAGAACUGUGCAAAGUCAUGACGAUAUCUAUGCAAUGAUGGUUUCUAUAGGCAUCACGUCCGAAACAAGUAGACCGAUACUUUCUGCAUCUACUACUAUUACUCCACACGUCGACCGCUAUCCAGCAUGCAUCUAGUGUAGUAAGUCCAUAAGAACAGAGUAACGCCUUAAGCAAAAUGACAUGAUGUAGAGGGAUAAUCUCAAACCAAUGAUUAAAUCCCCAUCUUUUUACCCUUGAUGGCAACUACUUGAUGUGUGCCUUGCUGCCCCUACUGUCACUGGGAAAGGUCACCACAUGGCAGAAGCCAAAACCAAGCACUUCUCCCAUUGCAAGAAUCAUAUAUCUAGUUGGCCAAACAAAACCCAAGACUCGGAGAGACUUACAAGGAUAUCAAAUCAUGAAUAUAAGAAAUCAACAAAGACUCAAAUAUAUAUCAUAGAUAAUCUGAUCACAAAUCCAUAAUUCAUCGGAUCUCGACAAACACACCGCCAAAGAAGAUUACAUCGGAUAGAUCUCCAUGAAGAUCAUGGAGAACUUUGUAUUGACGAUGCAAGAGAGAGAAGAAGGCAUCGGAGGUCUGAAGUGAACUACUCACGAGUCAUUGGAGGGGGCGAUGGUGAUGAUGAAGAAGCCCUCCAACUCCAAAGUCCCCUCCGGCAGGGCGCCGGGAAGGGUCUCCAGAUGAGAUCUCGCGGAAACGGAAGCUUGCGGUGGCGGAAAAGUAUUUUCAAGGCUCCCCUGAUUUUUUGUGGAAUAUUUGGGAAUUUAUAGGCCAAAGACCUAGGUCAGGGGGCGGCCAAGGAGGCCACAAGCCUGCCCACCGCCGCCUCCCCCCUGGUGGCGGAGUGGGGGCUUGUGGGCUCCCUGGAGCCCACCUGGCUUGGCCCAAAAGCCCCCUGGUCUUCUUCCGUUCGAAAAAAAAAUCAUUUUGGGGUUUUUCUUCCCUUUGGACUCCGUUCAAAAAUCAGAUCUGAAAAGAGUCAAAAACACGGAAAAAACAGGAACUGACACUUGACACUGAAUUAAUAAGUUAGUCCCAAAAAGAUAUAAAAAGAUACAUAAGACAACCAAAGAAGACAAGAUAACAGCGUGAAACCAUCAAAAAUUAUAGAUACGUUUGAGACGUAUCAAACAUCCCCAAGCUUAACUCCUACUCGUCCUCGAGUAGGGAAGUGAUAAGAACGAAUUUUUGAUGCUUUCAUGCUACCUAGCAUAGGUGUCCUUUGUAAUUCCUCUUAUGUGACGUGAAUGUUCAGAUCCAUUAGAUUCAAAACAAUAGUUUGCUAUUGACGUGGAAACAAUAAUAAUUCAAGCAAACUAGCAAAGUAAUCAUGAACUUUCAAAAUAAUAAGGCCAAAAGAAAGUUAUUCCUACAAAAGCAUAUAGUCUGGCUAUGCUCUAUCAUCAUUGCACAACGAAUUUAAAUCAUGCACAACCCCGGUAUUGGCCAAGUAAUUGUUUCACGCCUUUACUUUCUCAAACAUUUUCAACUCUCACGCAAUACAUGAGCGUGAGCCAUGGUUAUAGCACUAUAGAUGGUGUGAAAUGUGGUGGAGGUUGCAAGACAAAAAAAAAGAUAGUCACAUUAACUAGGCAUAUCAAUGAGCUCUGGAGAUGCUCAUCAAUAGAGACCUAAGACCAAAAUUUUAAAAAGGUCAUGUUUGUUCAUUCUUGACGACCAACUGUUGACCUUAUAAAUUUGGUCAAAAAAAUGUCAAUAAAUGACAACAAAUGAUGAAUCAACGACCAAUAUAGGGAGUCAUAAUUAACCUUAUUUCUUGUGGGUAGUGGCUUCCGGGAGCAGGCACCAGCUGUUCCAUCAUCAGAUCAUUGUCCAUUGAGCUCUCGAGGCAGUCUCUCCUCUAUUCGGUGUACGCCCUUGGCAACCACCUCUUGGAAAAUCUCGGUGUUCUCAUGUCGGCGCUGCGACAAAAGGUUCUUCCGCCAUCCUUCGCGGGUCCUGACCAUUGUGUUGGGGGAGUAGAGGUAAGCGGUUGUGCCGACGGCUUGGAUUAUAGGAGACAUGCCUUUGAGGUGGGGCGGUUUGUGCACUUGUGCCAUGGUUGGUCGGCAGGCCAAGCGGCAGUUUGAAUGCAUGCGUUAGGAAUGGGUUUCUCAGCCGCAGGGGUGGAGCUACGUACAGCUACCCGGUGUUAGUGGCACUGGGUCCAAUUUGCAUUUGCUUAUUGAUUUAGUGUGCAGAUCAUUAAUUUUUUUAACAUGUAGGCAUGUGUUUUUGUAUGUGGACACCGGGUAAUUUCCAAUCUAGGCCCGCCCGUGCUCAGCCGCCACGCCUGUUCAAUGCGGGUAGGCAGAUAGAUGCGCAGUCGGCUCUAAUGCAAUAGGGAUCCAUCUAGUCGUGUCGUCUGGUCACAUUGCUCUGAGUCGACAUUGAACAUGAUGCAGGAGGCGCUCUCGGUAGCGUCUGCUGAACGGCGUGUUGCAGACCGGUUACGUCCGCCCUCCACCGGCAUGAAUGUGACGUCCAAAGGAAAGGCAUGCUUGGAAAGGACACACGUGAGAGUGUUUUGGGUGGGACCACGUUCUCGGACCGUGUACGUGACACGAGUCUGGCACCCGCAAAUCACCUCGAGUUUGGUGUCGAUUUGCAAAAAUUCAGACGUGCGAAUACGUCCGUGUCCGUGUAUAUAUGCGACAUUAUGUGAGAUGGCAAAAAAAAAAAAAAUCCGAACACGCUGGUCGGAGCAUUUGCAAGCGUUUUGAGAAUAAGGCCUAAGGGGUCAACUCGAUCAUCUACUCCCUCCGUAUCUAAAUAUAAGUCUUUUAAGAUAUUUCACUAGGUGUCUACGUACGAAGCAAAAUGAAUAAAUCUAUACUUUUAAAUAUGUCUAUAUACAUCCGUAUGUAAUCCAUUAGUGAAACCUCUAGAAAGACUUAUAUUUAGGAACAGAGGGAGUAGUGGAUUAGUUCCACGAGGGGACUAGUUUCCCUGGAACAAAUAAGGCCUAAAGGGUCAAGUCAUUCGUAUGGGAUGCAUGUGCGUACUGAUUUGCCGAUGGGUGAGUUGCAUGCCUCACGCGGCACAACGAUGUUGUACUCGCUUCCAAACAUUGGAUGGAUACAUAGACCAUACCAAGCAGCAGAACGAGGGAUGUCGCUCUCAGAGAACGGAUACACAGACUUUGAAGCAUCUAACGCUAAGAUAAAUACCCCCGCUCACGUCCCUCAAAGUCAGUCCCAUGAUCGGAAGUUGCAAGAUUGUCUGUCUAGCCCUGAGUGGAGUCGGCCUCACGCCUGAAGCUACAACCAAACAUACAGAGCUCAUAAAACGGAGCAAAACCAGAGGAAGGGGCAUGCAAAUAUUCAGACUUCAGAAAACAGAGCAAAGCAGAGGAGGUAAAGUAGAGUUGAGCAGACAGAGUAAAAGCAGAGGUUCCAAAAUCAGAUGAGGCAUCCAUCAUCAAGGGGUCCCCGGCAGGUAAGCUUCACAGCUCAACUACUUACCUACAGACAGAUAGUGUGCACUUAACCACGUUUCAGAAACAGAGCACACAAGGCACAAGCGCUCCUCAGGUUUCACAUCAGUGCACAACCUACCCUCUGCUCUACCUUUCCAACCCCUUCUACAAACACUUACCUCAGUUAAGAUACUGUCCUCCACAAGCAAGCCACAUAGGAAAAAUUGUAUUUCAAAGUUUCCUUAGCAACAUUCAAGGUUUCCUUAGCAACAUCCAAGGUUUAUUUGUGUAUACUCUCAGUUUUAAGAUACCGUCCUCCGUUUCAAGCCAUAUAAGAAUAUAAGACUGAAGAACAGAUUCCCCUAAAUAGUCGAGCACACCUUUGUCCAUGCCCGUCUAGACCGGUAUGCAGACCGUAUGAGAGUCUGAGAACCUUCCAUGCGUGCCUGACGCGUCGAGAGUCUGCAGAACCAACCAUGCUUGCCUGACGCACCGAGAGUGUGCAGAACCUUCCAUGCUUGCCUGACGCGCCGAGAGUCUGCACAACCAACCAUGCUUGCCUGACGCACCGAGAGUGUGCAGAACCUUCCAUGCUUGCCGGACGCGCCGAGAGCCUGCAGAACCAACCAUGCUUGCCUGACGCGCCGAGAGUCUGCAGAACCUACCGUGCUUGCCUGACGCGCCGAGAGUCUGCAGAACCUACCGUGCUUGCCUGACGCGCCGAGAGUCUGCAGAACCAACAAUGCUUGCCUGACGCACCGAGAGUGUGCAGAACCUACCGUGCUUGCCUGACGCGCCGAGAGUCUGCACAACCAACCAUGCUUGUCGGACACGCCGAGAGUGUGCAGAACCUUCCAUGCUUGCCGGACGCGCCGAGAGUCUGCAGAACCAACCAUGCUUGCCUGACGCGCCGAGAGUCUGCAGAACCUACCGUGCUUGCCUGACGCGCCGAGAGUCGCGCCGAGAGUCUGCAGAACCUUCCAUGCUUGUCGGACACAUCGAGAGUCUGCAGAACCUACCGUGCUUGCUUGAUGCGCCGAGAGUCUGCAGAACCUUCCAUGCUUGUCGGACACGCCGAGAGNNNNNNNNNNNNNNNNNNNNNNNNNNNNNNNNNNNNNNNNNNNNNNNNNNNNNNNNNNNNNNNNNNNNNNNNNNNNNNNNNNNNNNNNNNNNNNNNNNNNCAUCAAACGUCGCAAUGUAACUGGGUGACUAUAAAGAUGCUCUACAGGUAUCUCCGAAGGUGUUNNNNNNNNNNUGUUUUCUGCGUGUCAAGUAUUUGUUCCUAUGACCAUGAGAUCAUAUAACUCACUGACACCGGAGGAAUGCUUUGUGUGUAUCAAAUGUUGCAACGUAACUGGGUGACUAUAAAGAUGCUCUACAGGUAUCUCCGAAGGUGUUCGUUGAGUUAGUAUGGAUCGAGACUAGGUUUUGUCACUCCGUGUGACGGAGAGGUAUCUCGGGGCCCACUCGGUAAUACAACAUCACACACAAGCCUUGCAAGCAAUGUGACUUAGUGUAAGUUGCGGGAUCUUGUAUUACGGAACGAGUAAAGAGACUUGCCGGUAAACGAGAUUGAAAUAGGUAUGCGGAUACUGACGAUCGAAUCUCAGGCAAGUAACAUACCGAAGGACAAAGGGAAUGACAUACGGGAUUAUAUGAAUCCUUGGCACUGAGGUUCAAACGAUAAGAUCUUCGUAGAAUAUGUAGGAUCCAAUAUGGGCAUCCAGGUCCCGCUAUUGGAUAUUGACCGAGGAGUCACUCGGGUCAUGUCUACAUAGUUCUCGAACCCGCAAGAUCUGCACACUUAAGGUUCGACAUUGUUUUAUGCGUAUUUGAGUUAUAUGGUUGGUUACCGAAUGUUGUUCGGAGUCCCGGAUGAGAUCACGGACGUCAUGAGGGUUUCCGGAAUGGUCCGGAAACAAAGAUUGAUAUAUAGGAUGACUUCAUUUGGUUACCGGAAGGUUUUCGGGCAUUACCGGUAAUGUACCGGGAAUGACGAAUGGGUUCCGGAUCUUCACCGGGAGGGGGGACCACCCACCCGGGAGGGCCCAAGGACCUUGGGGGUGGCACACCAAGUAGGUGGGGUCAUCCCAAGGCUGUCUUGCGCAAGAGAAAGAAAAACCAAAAGAAGAGAAAGAAAAAAAAAAGGAAAGGUGGGAAAAAAGAGAAGGACUCCACCUUCCAAUCCUAGUUGGACUAGGAUUGGAGGAGGACUCCUCCUCCCCUUGGUGGCGCAGCCCUUGGGGCUCCUUGAGCCUGAAGGCAAGCCUCCCCUCCCUCCUCCUAUAUAUAUGGAGCAAUUAGGGCUGAUUUGAGACAACUUUUUCAAGGCAGCCCGACCACAUANNNNNNNNNNNNNNNNNNNNNNNNNNNNNNNNNNNNNNNNNNNNNNNNNNNNNNNNNNNNNNNNNNNNNNNNNNNNNNNNNNNNNNNNNNNNNNNNNNNNUUUUCGAGGGUAGAGUAUUCAACCCAAAUUUAUUGAUUCGCUCACAAGGGGAAGCUAAAGAAUAUUCUCAAGUAUUAGCAGCUAAGUUGUCAAUUCAACCACACCUAAAAGAUUAAUGUCUGCAAGUAAAGUGUCAGUAGCAAGGUAGUAUGAUAGCAAUGGCACCAGAAAAAGCUUUGACAAUUCCUAGCAAUGGCGCCAGAAAAAGACUUGUUGAUGGGAUGUUAGCGCCAACAAAGUCUUGCAACAAGUAACAGCGGAGUAGCAAGGAACAGUAGUAGUAGCAGUAGCAAACUAAAAAGUAACAACAGUAGUGAUAGCAGCAGCAAAGUGGCUCAAUCCCUCUUGUAGCAAGGGACAAGCCUAGGCAAAGAUACGUAGCGAGAACCAGUAGUAAAAGACUCGUAGGCAGUGGAUCGGUCAUGGGUGAGUGUGACGGAUGUGAUUCAUCAUGUAACAGCUAUAACACGAAGAGAUAUGUGGCUAGCUCCCGUUCAUCAAUCUAAUGUAGGCAUGUAUUCCGUAUGUAGUCAUACGUGCUUAGGAAAAAGAACUUGCAUGACAUCUAUUGUCCAUCCCUCCCAUGGCAGCGGGGUCCUAUUGGAAACUACGUGAUAUUAAGGUUCUCCUUUUAAUAAAGAACCGGACCAACGCAUUAACAAGCGGUGAAUACAUGAACUCCUCAUACUAUGGUCAUCUCCGGGAGUGGUUCCGGCUAUUGUCACUCCGGGGUUGCUGGGUCAUAACACAUAGUAGGUGACUACAAUUUGCAAGAUAGGAUCUAAAACACACAUAUAUUGGUGACAACAUAAUAGGUUCAGAUCUGAAAUCAUGGCACUCGGGCCCUAGUAACAAGCAUUAAGCAUAGCCAAGUAGUAGCAACAUCAAUCUAGAACAUAGUGGAUACUAGAGAUCAAUCCCCGUCAAGAACUAACUCGAUUACAUGAUAGAUCUCAUCCAACUCAUGACCGUCCAGCAAGCCUAUGCUGAGAUUACUCACGAAUGAUGAAGAGCAUCAUGGAAUUAUCGAUGGAGAAAGGUUGAUGAUGACGAUGGCGACGAUUUCUCCUCUCCGGAGCCCGAAACGGACUCCAGAUCCGCCCUCCAAAUGAAGAACAGGAUGUGGUGGCGCCUCCGUAUCGCAAAACGCGAGGAAACCUUCUCUCUGAUUUUUUUUCCAAGCAAAACGAAAGAUAUAGGACUGAGAUUGGGGGCGGUGGUGACACGUGGGCCCCACAAGCCCAGGGGUUUGUGGCCCAUUGGCACGCCCCCUCACGUGGAACUUUGCGCAGGUAUUUUUCUUUUAUUCCAGAAAAAAUCUCCGUAAAUUUUCAGGACAUUCCGAGAACUUUUAUUUCUGCACAAAAACAACACCAUGGCAAUUCUGGUGAAAACAACAUCAGUCCGGGUUAGUUCCAUUCAAAUCAUGCAAAUUAGAGUCCAAAACAAGGGCAAAAGAGUUCAGAAAAGUAGAUACGACGGAGACGUAUCAACUCCCCCAAGCUUAAAGCCUUGCUUGUCCUCAAGCAACUCAGUUGACAAACUGAGAGAGACAAAAGAAAAACUUUGACGAACUCUGUUUGAUCUUGUUGUUGCAACUAUGUCUAACUCAUAACCAGAAUUUCAACAACAUCACAAUCAAACCACAUAAGCAAAUGACAUCUAGGUCUCACGGUAAACUCAUAUCAAUGGCAUAAUCAACUAGCGAGCAAAUAAUAAUAAGUCUCAAGUGUCAACACUUCAAUCAAAACAACAUGAAGCAGUAUGAAUAUAUGGUAUCUCGCUAGCUCUUUCUGAGACCGCAAAACAUAAAUGCAGAGCACCUUAAAACACCAAGGGCUGACUAAACAUUGUAAUUCAUGGCAAUGAAGAUCCAGUCAUAGUCAUACUCAACACAGUUAAAAGCAAAGCAUAAAAAUGAUAGAUGUGCUCUCUAAUUGGUGCUUUUCUAAGAGGAGGAUGACUCAACAGGAACAUAAAUAGACAGGCCCUUCACAGAGGGAAGCAUUGAUUUGCAGAGGUGCCAGAGCUCAAGCUUUGAAAACACAGAUAAUAAUUUUGGGUGGCAUGCUUUCAUUUUCAACACAAUGACUAAGAGUUCUCAACAUGCUACACAUGCUAUAGGCGGUUCCCAAACAGAAAAGUAAAGUUUUGACUCCCCCACCACCAAUCAAUCACACUCCACGGCUAGCCGAAUCCGCGGGUGCCGUCCAUACCAACAACAAUCCUGGGGGAGUUUUGUUUGCAAUUAUCUUUUUGAUUUGAGCAUGGAACUGGGAAUUCCAAUUACCGGCCCCUUUCUCGUGAAUGAUAGUGAAUAAACACAUAUCGAGGAUAACACGCCUAGCAUGGAAGAUACCAAUAGCCCCCUGUCACCACAUGAGCGGUUCGAGCAUGCAAAACAGAUUAUUUCUUGAAGAUUUAGAGAGUGGCACAUGCAAAUUUACUUGGAACGGCAGGUAGAUACCGCACAUAGGUAGNNNNNNNNNNCGAACGAUGAAGAGCAUCAUGGAAUUGUCGAUGGAGAAAGGUUGAUGAUGACGAUGGUGACAAUUUCCCCUCUCUGGAGCCUGAAAUGGACUCCAGAUCUGCCCUCCAGAUGAAGAACAGGAUGUGGCGGCGCCUCCGUAUCGCAAAACGCGAUGAAACCUUCUCUCUGAUUUUUUUCCAGGCGAAACGGAAGAUAUAGGACUGAGUUUGGGGCAGUGGUGCCAUGUGGGCCCCACAAUCCCUCAUGACGCGGCCAUAGGGUGUGGCCGCGGCCCAGGGGCUUGUGGCCCACUAGCACCCCCCUCACGUGGAACUUUGCGCAGGUAUUUUCCUUUUAUUCCAGAAAAAAUCUCCAUAAAUUUUCAGGACAUUCUGAGAACUUUUAUUUCUGCACAAAAACAACACCAUGGCAAUUCUGUUGAAAACAGCGUUAGUCCUGGUUAGUUCCAUUCAAAUCAUGCAAAUUAGAGUCCAAAACAAGGGCAAAAGAGUUCGGAAAAGUAGAUACGACGGAGACGUAUCAACCCCCACUCCCUCACUCUUCCCUCCCCCAGCCCCCACGAACCCCCAGCCCACCUCACACCAUCUCCCUCUCUCUCCCGGUCCACCCUGGAUCAGGGCAGGGAGGCCGAGGCCGAGCCCUGCGCCCCGCCGGCCACCUCUGACGGCUCCCUCGCCGGAUCGCCUCGCGCCACCACCACCGGCCUCCACGCCGCCCCUCACCAUCGGGUUCCCUCCUCCGCCUCCCCUCGCCCUCCUCCACCUCCGGCCGGCCUCCUCGUCGAACUACCCCGAUCUCCACCAAGCCACUUCUUCCACUACAACCACCGUUGAGGCCCCGGCGCUGCCGCUCCUACCUUUUCCCCCAUCCAGUCGUGCUCCGGCAUGGCCAGCCGCGCCCCCGGUCCCCCUUUCCUACCCCGACGGUGCCGCACUCCAUCAUGCCUGGCUCGACCGGCCACAACAUCCCAGACCCCUCCAGCCAUCGCUAGCCCCCACCCUGCCAUCGCUGCAAUGCCAUGGUCGCCCUCUCGCACGCAUGCGCGCAUCCGCUAGCUGUUGUUGCUGCUGCUCCUGCCCUCCUGCCCUGCAUCGCCUGCAGCUGCUGCUCCGGCCUCGCUGGCCCGUCCGCUUGCAUCCUGGCCGAUUAGCAGGGGGAUUAACCCCCUCUGUUGUGUCGUCUCCCUCUCCUCCAUCCCCAUCCUCUACCAUGAACCCAAUCACUCGCUACGGGAAGGUGCUCGCACAUGGCACGACCAAUCUCGAUGUCGUCUACACGAACGACAGCGCCAAGGUCACGGUUUUUCUUUCCAUGUUCGAGGAAUGGCUUCAAGAGGAGAAACACACGUUCAUGGGCCUCCAUCUCGAGUACACGGCCGAUUGUCGCGAUGUUGUCGUCGUCCAACUUUGUUUCAAACAUCGUGUCAUGGUCUUUCAGUGGGCAAGGUAAUACAAAACUCGUCAUAGUUUUAAUUGGGGCUUUNNNNNNNNNNNNNNNNNNNNNNNNNNNNNNNNNNNNNNNNNNNNNNNNNNNNNNNNNNNNNNNNNNNNNNNNNNNNNNNNNNNNNNNNNNNNNNNNNNNNUCUAUCCGAUGUAAUCUUCUUUGGCGGUAUGUUUGUCGAGAUCCGAUGAAUUGUGGAUUUGUGAUCAGAUUAUCUAUGAUAUAUAUUUGAGUCUUUGCUGAUUUCUUAUAUGCAUGAUUUGAUAUCCUUGUAAGUCUCUCCGAGUCUUGGGUUUUGUUUGGCCAACUAGAUCUAUGAUUCUUGCAAUGGGAGAAGUGCUUGGUUUUGGGUUCUGCCAUGUGGUGACCUUUCCCAGUGAUAGUAGGGGCAGCAAGGCACACAUCAAGUAGUAGCCAUCAAGGGUAAAAAGAUGGGAUUUUUAUCAUUGGUUUGAGAUUAUCCCUCUACAUCAUGUCAUCUUGCUUAAGGCGUUACUCUGUUCUUAUGGACUUAAUACACUAGAUGCAUGCUGGAUAGCGGUCGACGUGUGGAGUAAUAGUAGUAGAUGCAGACAGUAUCGGUCUACUUGUUUUGGACGUGAUGCCUAUAGAAAUAAUCAUUGCAUAGAUAUCGUCAUGAGUUUUCGCGGUUCUAUCAAUUGCUCGACAGUAAUUUGUUCACCCAGCGUCUACUUGCUUUCAUGAGAGAAGCCACUAGUAAAAACUACGGCCCCCGGGUCUAUUCAAAUCCAUUGUUUACACCUCCGCUUUUACUUUGCUUUGUUACUUUGUUGCUUUCAGUNNNNNNNNNNNNNNNNNNNNNNNNNNNNNNNNNNNNNNNNNNNNNNNNNNNNNNNNNNNNNNNNNNNNNNNNNNNNNNNNNNNNNNNNNNNNNNNNNNNNGGGUAGGGGUUUUGAAGGGUUUUAUAUAUUAGGGUUUCGUAUUGUGUUUCCCCUUUUUCCUUUUGUGUCCAUCAUCUUUGGUUCCUUAUGCUUGUUGGUGUUUUCGGUCGGCGUCAACUAGACGCCAGCUAGUACGUACAUAAAGCAUUACGCAACAUCGUAUAUUACUCCUUGAAAAGACCUCGAUGACGCCUAGAGGGGGGGUGAAUAGGCUGUUUAAAAACUUCUUCGGAUUUGGCUUGAAACUAAUGCGGAAAUAAACUAAGAGGGUACUUGUCAAGCACAAAUCCUAAAUGCACUAGGCACUGCAACGUGUAUCAACAACACGAUCUACCAAGAUGGACACAAUACAGUUACUAACAAGCACAAGUAAGUUACACAAACUUACUUGAGCUAUAUCACACGACAAGUAGGUGAAACAACACAAGAUACUAGAUCACACUAUAUCACAUGAUAUAUCAAAGGCUGCAAGUAUGAACGUGUGGAUAUAGAGGGUAUGCUUGAAUGAUUAAUCUUGUACAAGAAAUAGCCAACACAAUAUAAUGAGCACAAACAAUACGCAAUGUAUGUAAGCUCAAGUAACACAAGUAAACCACAAGUAAGGAGUUAGGGUUAAGGAUAACCAAGGUCACUGAGACGAAGAUGUAUCCCGAUGUUCACUUCCUUGGAGGGAAGCUAGUCACCGUUAGAGAGGUGGAUGUUACCACGAAGGCACACCAAUGCCACGAAGGCUCACCAUAUUCUCCCUUUGAGAUAACACCACGAAGGCGUUUCUCAACCACUAGUGGUAAGCCUUUGAGGUGGCUUCCAAACCCUCACAAACUUUUCCGGGGGGUAAUCACACGGAUUGAUUCCUCUCCGAAGAACUCCUACCGCCUAGGAGUCUCCAACCUCCAAGAGUAACAAGAUCACGGGGAAUGCUCAAAACUUGCUCAAAUCUCAAAUAGCUUGGGUUGAGAGGAGGAGAGGGAGACGAUCUAUCUUUUGAUUGGAACAACUCUCAAAGGGGCUCACAAAUGCUCUUGGGAUCUAAGAUUUGGUGUGAGCAAAUGUGUGUGAGGUAGAAGUGUGUUCUUAUGAGGAUAAGGUUGUGUUGGGCAACCCUCUCACGAAGUGGGAGGGGGUAUUUAUAGUGGGGAGAGAAAAACAGCCGUUUGGGACACUUUAAGUCACACAGGGUCUGGACGUCCGACAGUUGCCGGAAGUCCGGGCGUCCACGAGGGGUCGGACGUCCGACAGGGGUCGGUCGUCCGAGGCCUGUAGAUAUAGCUGAAAAUACUGUGAAUUGAACAGCGACCGGACGUCCGGAGAGGACCGGAAAUCCGAGUUAUUCGACUCAACUUCUUCUGGUGGGAGGUUCCGGAUUUUCGAAAGGGGACGGACGUCCGACCCUCGACGUCCGGAGGGAGCCGAAAAUCCGAGUUAUAGAGCUCAUGUUCUUCUGGUGCAGGGCUCCGGAUUUCCGAAGCUUGUCGGUCGUCCGACCCUUGACCGGCCCUCGGACGUCCGGAGGGAGCCGGAAGUCCGAGUUAUAUGGCUCAAGUUUCUCUGGUAUAGGAUUCCGGAUUUCCGAAGCAGUCGGUCGUCCGGCCCUCGGACGUCCGGAGGAAGCCGGAUGUCCGAGGCACUGGUUCUGUUUUCAGAUAACAGCAGAGCAGUGGAGAUGUGGUCUGAGCAGAACAGUGGAGAUGUAGUUUGAGCAGAACAGUGGAGAUGUAGUUUGAGCAAGUUCAUCGCAAAACCUGUGAUCCCCUCUUAAUAGUGCGGGAUCCCUAAAGACUCAAGAAUCAUAAAAGGGGUACUGAUGAUCCAUACUUGAGUGUAUACUUUUAUUCGCUGAUCAUCACUCCGCACAACUAACGUCAAAGGAACUGAUACCUUUGAGUUAGCCCUUUCACUUGAGCUUGAUGUUGUUGUUCCUUCUUGGCUCAGGUUGAAAGCAAGACAUGAUGAAGUCUUCAAGUAGCUCUCCCAUACACAAUGUGGAAAGCCUAGCUUAUGUAUUCAUCUUCAUUUGUCCACCAUGUGAACAUCCACAAGAAUCAAGCAUGUAGUGCUCAGGAAUGCUUAUCUUGAUCUUGUCCUUGUUAGCACAUGAGCUUGUCCUUAUCAACACAUGAUCAUUAACAAUAGUUUCAAUGAUAUAUUCGUGAUGAUCCACUUGAACUUGCACACCACAAUCUUGAUGACGAUCGCCACUUGACGUCAUCCUUCAUGGGUUGUAUGAGAUCUUCCUUUUGACGCAAGCCCAUGGAAGCACACCUAACCCCCACAUAGGACUCUCACAAAGACCAUGGGUUAGUACACAAACACGUAAUGGACAAUGCUUACCAUACCAUGGGAUCACUUGAUCCCUCUCGGUACAUCUUAUACGCUUUGUGUGUUGAUCAUCUUGAUUUACUCUUUGUCUGAGAUCUUGUUCAACCUAGUGUCUCUAUGACCAUUCUUUGGAUAAUACCUUGAAUACCAUCUUGGUCAUCAUAUAAACUCCUUGAACCCAACAGAUGGACUUCAAGAAGUGCCUAUGGACAAAUCCUAUAAAUAUAACUAAAGGCAACCAUUAGUCCAUAGGAAUUGCCAUCAAUUACCAAAACCACAUAUGGAGAUAUAUGCUCUAACACUCCUCAUCAUUGUACAUACUAGUUAAAAAAUUCUUCAUCAUUUUAGGUAAAAUAGCAUAAAAAGAUGAACUCCUCAUCAUUCUAGUUGUUAUUAUAGUAGCAAAUGACCAAGUUAUCACAAUGUUGAAACACUAACUACUACUCUCUCCUAGGUAAAAAAGCAAAAUAAAGACGAACUCCGACAUCUCCGUAUUGAUGAACACAGAUCAACCUAUCUCCAACUUGUGGGAUGCGCAAAGAUUCCUCUCCAAAUGGUAUCAUAGAUGCUUGUAUUGCAUUUCUCCAUCCUUUGAUUUUCAGAGUGUCUUCACUUUGAGAUAUCCUAUAUUUACCACGGUAAAUAAUAGGUGUUGGUCGUAAGCUAACCAUUUCCAAAUCACCGGUGGUAAACAUCCAUUUAGGCACGGUCUCUGGGGGGAGUACCUGUUAGUAAUAAUAAUAUAGUUAGCAAAAUAGUUUUGCUUAAGACCAAUGUAUAAAAAAGAUGGAUUAGUGAUGCAAUGGUAUAAAAAAUCUUACAAAGUUGUUUGAAGUGAUGUUACGAGGGCUCAACUGGUGCACUAGUGGCACAUAUUCAUGAUAAAUGUUGUCAGUCAUGUAAAUUUUUAGCAUGAUUGUCAACAUCAUGAAUAAAUGAGAUGAGAUGAUUUUCUCCAACCAAGUAAGGUUGGAGCCAAAACUGUAGUAGGUUUGAUCUACUAUCUUCCGUGUAGUUCUUGUAGCAUGGAAAUAAGCUAAUAAUUGAAAAUAAACAAAUUUAAUCGGGAUGAGUACAAGAUACUUUUCAGUAAUUAAUAAAAAAUACCUAAAUUUCUAUAUUAUUAUCACGGACAUCAUCAUUACCAAGAUCGAAGGUAAUGUUCAUGUCCUCAUUCAACCAUAUGCCUUGCAAAAUGCUCUCCAAUUAGAACAACCAAAAUAUGUGUGAUCUACAUCAUUUUUUACCUUGACAACAAAAGUGAAAUGUUUUGUUCUUAGGUGAGCUAUUUUAGGUCGUGUGCUAUCCUUCUCUUUAAAAUGAAACUUGUCCAAGACAGCAAAUCUUGCAUGACAGGGAACGCACUAGUCGAUUUGUACAAAAGAAAAUUAAAGGUUAACUAAAGCAAAAAAAACACGUCAUACUUGACUAACAAAAAAUACAUGUCGUCUUUACAUACCGUAAUAAUCGAGAAGUCAUCCGUCAGCUUGACGGUAAAGGACGUAUCGUUAUCUAGGUGAGGAUAACGAUCGCAUAUACCCCUAUCAUCCCAGCACAAAUGGCACGCAGGGAUCCUAUCGUCAUCGGAUCAUGACAUUCCCUGUGUUCAUAAUUCUAUAUAAGAUUAAAAAUCACAGACAUUGGACAAAUAAAACAUAUCCUAAAGGUACAACAACAACAAAAUAAAAAUCAUACAAUGAUGGACCUGUCGACACUAAGAAGUUUAUUUUUUUCUAGCAACAAAGUCAAAAGCGUUUGUCCUGCAAUAGAUCUCAAGAGGCAAAAAUAUUCUCUUUUGGUUACAACCAAUAAUCAACUUAAUAUAUCUCAAAUAUUAUCGAAUAUAAUCUCGAAUACAUCUCUAGUAUAAUCUAGUUCACUUGCGGUUCCUAAUCAAACGGAUCACCCAAAGAGUUGCCGUUGUAUUGAGGCGCGGGCGGUGGACACCCGCAUAGAAGGAACCAUCACAGGAUGAUAGCUCGGGUGAGAUCCGUGAAGAACCUGCCAGAUAUUGGAGAACCUCGCGUCCAACGCAACCAAGUAACAACGUACAUGCUCGUCCUCCUCCCUGACACGGGAAGUACCUCCUCCUCGGCGGUCGACUGCCUCCGCACCGAAACUAGCCCACGCGACCGCCACCAAAGAAGCUCUGGGUCAACAACGGGAGUCUGGUUCCUCACCAAGAUUCGUGCCCUAGAAGGUAGCACCUCCCAGUGUCAGCCCGACGGAGCCCAGUCCCGAACAUGUUGGCGCCUCUCAAGUAGGUUGUCGCCACCGAGUCGACGACGAGGAUACAUGACGGGCAUCGUCGACGUCGAGAACAAUUUCUAAAACUAUUUAAAGUCCUACUAUUUAAAGAAUAAAUCCGGAAUUAAUAAAUGUCGCUGAUGAUUUGUUUUCAAAUUCCAAUUUAGGUAGCAGCAGGAUAGAGAAACAAAUACGUACUAGGAUGCUAUGAGCAUCAAAACUUUAAAGAAAGGACAAACAAAAAUGCAGAGUAAUUAUUUGUUGGGGAACGUCGCAUGGGAAACAAAAAAUUUCCUACACGCACGAAGACCUAUCAAGGUGAUGUCCAUCUACGAGAGGAGAUUUGGAUCUACGUACCCUUGUAGAUCGCACAGGAGGAAGUGUUAAGAAACGCGGUUGAUGUAGUGGAACGUCCUCACGUCCCUCGAUCCGCCCCGCGAACCAUCCCACGAACCGUCUCGCGAUCCGCUCCGAUCUAGUGCCGAACGGACAGCACCUCCGCGUUCAGCACACGUACAGCUCGACGAUGAUCUCGGCCUUUUUGAUCCAGCAAGCAAGACGGAGAAGUAGAUGAGUUCUCUGGCAGCAUGACGGCGCUCUGGUGGUGGUGAAGGAUCUACUCCUGCAGGGCUCCGCCCGAGCUCCGAAGAAAUACGAUCUAGAGGAAAAACCGUGAUGUUUUGUGGUCGGGCUGGCGUGGCAAAGUUGUCUCAAAUCAGCCCUAGACCUUCACUAUAUAUAGGAGGAGGGGUGGGGAGACUUGCCUUGGAGUCCAAGACCCCAAGAGCCCGCCGGCCAAGGAGGUGGAGGAGUCCACCUCCAAUCCUAGUCCAACUAGGAUUGGAAGGUGGAGUCCUUCUCUUUUUUCCCACCUUUCCUUUUUUUUUUCUUUCUCUUCUUUUGGUUUUUCUUUCUCUUGCGCAAGACAGCCUUGGGCUGACCCCACCUACUUGGUGCGCCACCCCCAAGGUCCUUGGGCCCUCCCGGGUGGGUGGUCCCCCCUCCCGGUGAAGAUCCGGAACCCAUUCGUCAUUCCCGGUACAUUACCGGUAAUGCCCGAAAACCUUCCGGUAACCAAAUGAAGUCAUCCUAUAUAUCAAUCUUCGUCUCCAGACCAUUCCAGAAACCCUCAUGACGUCCGUGAUCUCAUCCGGGACUCCGAACAACAUUCGGUAACCACACAUAUAACUCAACUAUACUAAAACAUCGAUGAACCUUAAGUGUGCAAACCCUACGGGUUCGAGAACUAUGCAGACAUGCCCCGAGGUACUCCUCGGUCAAUAUCCAAUAGCGGGACCUGGAUGCCCAUAUUGGAUCCUCCAUAUUCUCCGAAUAACUUAUCGGUUGAAUCUCAGUGUCAAGGAUUCAGGCAAUCCCGUAUGUCCUUCCCUUUGUCCUUCGGUAUGUUACUUGCCCGAGAUUGGAUCGUCGGUAUCCGCAUACCUAUUUCAAUCUCGUUACCGGCAAGUCUCUUUUCUCGUUCCGUAAUAUAAGAUCACGUGACUUACACUUAGUCACAUUGCUUGCAAGGCUUGUGUGUGAUGUUGUAUUACCGAGAGGGCCCCGAGAUACCUCUCCGUCAUACGGAGUGAAAAAUCUCAGUCUUGAUCCAUACUAACCCAACGGACACCUUCUGAGAUACCUGUAGAGCACCUUUAUAGUCACCCAGUUACGUUGGGACGUUUGAUGCACACAAGGCAUCCCUCCGGUGCCAAUGGAUUAUAUGAUCUCGUGGUCAUAGGAACAAAUACUUGACACGCGGAAAAUAAUAGCAAUAAAAUGACACGAUCAAUAUGCUACGUUCAUAGUUUGGGUCUAGUCCAUCACAUGAUUCUCCUAAUGAUGUGAUCCCGUCAUCAAGUGACAACACUUGCCUAUGGUUAGGAAACCUUGACCAUCUUUGAUCAACGAGCUAGUCAACUAGAGGCUUACUAGGGACAGUGUUUUGUCUAUGUAUCCACACAUGUAUUUGUGUUUCCAAUCAAUACAAUUAUAGCAUGGAUAAUAAACGAUUAUUAUGAACAAGGAAAUAUAAUAAUAACUAAUUUAUUAUUGCCUCUAGGGCAUAUUUCCAACAUUAUUGUGGGGGCAUACAUGUUCUUAUAGUUACACUAAUCAUAUCUAACAUACAUCUUUAGGAUUUCAUAUACUUGAAUGACUUUUUAAAUACCUCAUAUUGGAAAAUAUCCUCAAGUAAUGUCGAACACUAUCGAAAAAAGGAUUAGGACAUGGGGCAUGUGAUUGGCCAUUGUCUUUUGUUGCAGUUGCUCCUUCUUACUUGAUUAACCAAGAAAUACAUCUAACAAGUGAAUUGUGUAACCACACAAGCAUGUUUAUAUCUCUUAAUCAACAUAAAAGAUGAAACACUAUGAUAUUUUUAUGAUUUUGACAAGUUUUCAUGUACACAAUAUUUUGAACCACACAAUGCCUAAUUUUCUCUAAAAUGUAUGUAUAAAUACGGAUGUAUAUAAACACAAUUUACACAAUAUUUUUAUGAUUUUGACAAGUCUUCAUGUACAUGGUCUUUUUAGAGGUUCACUUAAGGACUACAUACGAUGCAUAUAGAGACAAUUUAGAGUGUGCAUUCAUCUCUAAAAGGACUUAUUUAGGAACGGAGGGAGUAAACUUAAGCUAACACUCAUGCAUAGAGGGAAGCACGUGGGGAGCGAUGGAGAUGCAGGAGCUCACCAGGGGCGGCGAGCGAUGGAGAUGGAGGGGCCGGCCGAUGAUGAGGGGAGCGCGCGGGGACGACAACGUCGGGGCAGGGCGCGGCGACGACGACGCCAAGGGCAGGGCACGGCGACGGCGACGUCAGGGCACGCAGCGGCGACGGCGUCGGGGUAGGAAGGGCCCAUAGAGGGGAGCGGUGGACGACGUCAGGGCAGGGCUCGGGGAGGCGACGAUGAGGUCUGGCAGCCUGGCGGUGUCGAUGUGGUCUCGGCGCCAUCGUGGGAGAGGAGGAGAUCGAAUUCGAAGAAAGCAGUGGAUUUGGAAAAACCGCAAAGUCCCGCUUAUAUGGCCCCACCUUUAGUCCCGUUGGUGGCUGCAACCGGGACUAAAGCUCCUUUUCAGCAGCUGAAAGGGCGGGAAGCAAAAGGCUUUAGUCCUGGUAUUAUGCCUCGGUCGUAUCUACUUUUCCGAACUCUUUUGCCCUUGUUUUGGACUCUAAUUUGCAUGAUUUGAAUGGAACUCACCCGGACUAACGCUGUUUUCACCAGAAUUGCCAUGGUAUUGUUUUUGUGCACAAAUAAAAGUUCUCGGAAUGACCUGAAAAUUUACGGAGAAUUUUUCUGGAAUUAAUGAAAAAUACCUGCGCAAAGAUCCACCGGAGGAGGUGAGCCAGUGAGCCACAAGCCCAAGAGGCGCGACCACCUCCCCUGGUCGUGCCUACCAGGCUUGUGGGGCCCACGUUGCUCCACCGCCUCCCUCAGCUCUAUUUAGUUCGUCUCGCCCGAAAAAAAUCAAGGAGAAGAGUUCAUCGCGUUUUACGAUACGGAGGCACCGCCACCUCCUGUUCUUCAUCUGGAGGGCAGAUCUGGAGUCUGUUUUGGCUCCGGAGAGGGGAAAUCGUCGUCAUCGUCAUAAUCAACCUUCCUUCGUCGCCAAUUCCAUGAUGCUCUUCAUAGUUCAUGAGUAAUCUCAUCGUAGGCUUGCUGGACGGUGAUGAGUUGGAUGAGAUCUAUCAUGUAAUCGAGUUAGUUUUGACGGGGAUUGAUCCCUAGUAUCCACUAUGUUCUGAGAUUGAUGUUGCUACUACUUUGCCAUGCUUAAUGCUUGUCGCUAGGGCCCGAGUGCCAUGAUUUCAGAUCUGAACCUAUUAUAUUGUCGCCAAUAUAUGUGUGUUUUAGAUCCUAUCUUGUAAGUUGUAGUGACCUACUAUGUGUUAUGACCCGGCAACCCCGGAGUGACAAUAGCUGGAACCACUCCCGGAGAUGACCAUAGUAUGAGGAGUUCAUGUAUUCACCAAGUGUUAAUGCGUUGGUCCGGUUCUUUAUUAAAAUGAGAACCUUAAUAUCCCGUAGUUUCCAUUAGGACCCCGCUGCCACGGGAGGGAUGGACAAUAGAUGGCAUGCAAGUUCUUUUCCCUAAGCACGUAUGACUACAUACGAAAUACAUGCCUACAUUAGAUUGACGAACUGGAGCUAGUCACUUAUCUCUCCGUGUUAUAACUAUUGCAUGAUGAAUCACAUCCGGCAUAAUCAUCCAUCACUAAUCCAAUGCCUACGAGUCUUUUACUACUCGUCCUUGCUACGUUACUUUGCUGCUGCUACUGUUACUCUGCCGCUACUGCUACUGUUACUCUGCCGCUACUGCUGUUACUUUGCUCCUACUCGUUACUGUUGCUACUACUGCUAUCACUCUACUUUGCUACUGAUACUUUGCUGCAGACACUAAAUCUUUCAGGUGUGGUUGAAUUGACAACUCAGCCGCUAAUACUUGAGAAUAUUCUUUCGCUUCCCCUUGUGUCGAAUCAAUAAAUUUGGGUUGAAUACUCUACCCUCGUAAAUUGUUACGAUCCCCUAUACUUGUGGGUUAUCACCUGGUUGGUGGAUCCAACCGGGACUAAAGGGGUGGGGGCUUUAGUCCUGGUUUUAUGCACCAACCGGGACUAAAGCUCAUUUUCAGCACACGAAAGGGCGGGAAGCAAGGGGCUUUAGUCCCGGUUGGAGCCACCAACCGGGACUAAAUGGCUAUUCGUGGCGCUCGCGCGGGGUUAGUCCCACCUCGCUAGCUUAGAGGAGCCGAGAGUGGUUUAUAAGCGCGGCUGCGGCCAACCCUGUCGAGCUCCUCUCAUAUGCAGGCCUAUGGGCCUAAACUAACUCUAUCUGCAUAUGGGCCUACUCAGCCUUCUGCAGGCCUGCAUCCUCGCCCAAUGAUCAUGUAGGGUUUCUAGUCGUAUGCACGCUGUAAUGGCAUAGUAGGUCGUAUUUUUUUAUUUUUUUGGAUUUGUUAAGUUUUUAAUUUUUUAAUUUUUUUUCAUUUUGUUAUCUUUAGUUAUAUAAUUUUAGUUGCAUAAAUUUUAUAUAAUUUUAGUUGCAUAAAUAUUAUAUAAUUUUAGUUGCAUAAGUUUUAGUUUUUAUUGAUUCUUUUUAGUUGAUUCUUAUUAGAUUUAAAAAAAUACUUUAUGAAAAUUUCUAUUGAAGUUUGUAAGAAAAAAAUACUUUAUGAAAAUUAUUUUUUACUAUUAAAGUUUUUAACAAAUAAAUACUUUGAUAAUUUUAGUUAAUAUUAUUUUAAUUUUUUAGUUGAUUCUUUUUGCUAUUGAAGAAUAUCAUAAAUAAUUGAUUCUUUUUAGUUGAUUUUUUUGCUAUUAUAGUUUUAUAAAAACUUUUUAAUUCAUUUUUUUGCUAUUGUUUUAUAAAAGCUUUUUAAUUAUUUUUUGCUAUUAGAGUUUUAUAAAAACUUUUUAGUUCAUUCUUUUUGCUAUUAGAAUUUUAUAAAAAAAAUAGUUCAUUAUUUUUGGGUUUUUUUAGUUCAUUCUUUUUAACAAAUUAAUACUUUGAUAAGUUUAUUUUAUUUUAUUUUGAUUCUUUUUAGUUCACUCUUUUUUAUAUUAGUUUAUUAUUUUAGUUAAAUGACCCUAAAAUUAAAAAACACUACAAAUAACUCUCUAAUGGUUGAAAUUUGGCAUGAUAUCAUCAUUUCACCCACAUAGCAUGUGUUAAAAAGUUGACAGGGUUACGGUAAAAAAUGGAUGCACUUCGUGUAUAAAAUCGACACUCUCUUUCGAAAUAUCAUGGUUUCGCACGAAAACUCAUCUAUUACAAAGGGAUUUUAUUUUUUUGAACUUAUUUCAACUAUAGACUUUUUGUGCUUUCAACAUGCACCAUUCAAAGACACAUCAUCAAUUUUCAACCCUUUUUGACUUCAUUUGGUAUUUUCCUUGCAUUUACUUAUUUUUUUGAGCUAAAUGACCCUGAAAAUAUAAAGCUCUACAAAUGAACUCUAAAAAUGUUGAAAGUUGGCAUGGUAUCGUUAUUUCACCCAUAUAACAUGUGUUAAAAAGUUGAGAGACUUACGAUAAAAACUAGAUGCAGUUGGUGUACAAAAUCGAUAGUCUCUUUCGAAGUAUCAUGAUUUCGCACGAUAACUCAUUUGUUACAAAAGGAUUUCAUUUUUUUAACUUACUUCAACUCCAGACUUUUUGUGCUUUCAACAUGCACCAUUCAAAGACACAUCAUCAAUUUUUAACCCUUUUUGACUUCAUUUGGUAUUUUUCUUUCAUUUACUCAUUUUUUGAGCUAAAUGAUCGUGAAAUUGGAAAGCACUACAAAUGAACUAUGAAAAGGUUGAAAAUUUGGCAUGGUAUCAUCAUUUCACCCACAUAGCAUGUGUAAAAAAGUUGAGAGGGUUACGGCAAAAACUGUAUGCACUUCGUAUACAAAAUCGACAGUCUAUUUCGAAGUAUCAUGGUUUCCCACGAAAACUCAUCUGUUACAAAGGGAUUUCAUUUUUUUGAACUUAUUUCAACUCCAGACUUUUUGUGCUUUCAACAUGCACCAUUAAAAGCCACAUCAUCAAUUUUUCAACUCUUUUUGACUUCAUUUGGUAUUUUUCUUGCAUUUACUCAUUUUUUUGAGCUAAAUGACCCUGAAAUUGAAAAUCACUACAAAUGAACUUUGAAAAAGGUUGAAAGUUGGCAUGAUAUCAUCAUUUCAUCGCACAUAGCAUGUGUUAAAAAGUUGAGAGGUUACAUCAAAAACUGGAUGCACUUCAUGUACAAAAUCGACAAUCUUUUUCAAAGUAUCAUGGUUUCGAACGAAAACUCAUGUGUUACAAAGGGAUUUCAUUUUUUUAACUUAUUUCAACUUCAGACUUUUUGUGCGUUCAGGAUGCGUCAUUCAAAGCCCCAUCAUCAAUUUUCAACCCUUUUUGACUUCAUUUGGUAUUUUUCGUGCAUUUACUCAUUUUGUUUGAGCUAAAUGAACUCUGAAAAGGUUGAAAGUUGGCAUGGUUUCAUCAUUUCACCCACAUAGAAUAUGUUCAAAAGUUGAGAGGGUUACCGCAAAAACUGGAUGCACUUCGUGUACAAAAUGGACAAUCUCUUUCGAAGUAUCAGGGUUUCAGACGAAAACUCAUUUGUUAGAAAGGGAUUUCAUUUUUUUUCAACAUGCACCAUUCAAAGUUUAUUCUUUUUAGUUCGUUCUUUUUAGUUAAUAUUUUAGUUGUGGAGAGAAAGUCUUCACUUUUUCUUCGCGUAUGUCCCUUGCUUAUAUAUUGCGCCGUAACCAUGGGCAAUCUUCAUCACAUACAUCAUAAUGCUUUAGAAAGCUUGCUCAUAAUAUAUUAAAUAUUCUUACACACAAAUCGUACUUAAACAGGGACAUAAUAAAAAUAAUAGUUCAAAUGUUCAUUACAGAAAGUACUCCAUAAAAUGAAGAGACCCCCAAGCACUACUCGUCGUCCGAAUCAGAAUACCCCGAAGGAGUAGAUACUAGCGGUACGAGGUGACGCUGCCAUAAUUGAAAAUUCUAAUCUUGCGGUACAACUCGUAUGAAAUGUACCCAUCUUUUGUUGCAUACUCAAUGUUGAUAGAGUCAAGUGGGGUCUUACCUCAAAGUUUGUGCCCUGACUUGGGGAAUUUUGUCUUCAUAUCAGCGUACUCCUCGUCAAUCAGGGCGACUGCCAUAUGAGCCAUUGAAGUCUUGUCAUGCUCAAGUCUGAACCUGCCCUGAAGAUCAAUGUGGCAUUCAGCUGGUAUCUCAAUACCCCAAGUGCGCCUCAUCUUGAUCUUGUCAUUUGUUAUAUCAACGCUAGCAAAAUUUAUGCCGCUGCGAAGGAAGUACAUGAGUUUUGGACAGUGCUUGUCACUACUGCAACAACAAAAUGGAACAAAUGUGUUAAAUAUAUACUACUGCAACAAGUAUAUUUUAGAUCAAGUAUAAUAGAAUCAUAACAAGUAUAAUUCAUCACAAGUACAAAAGAAUCAUAACAAGUAUAAUAAGAAUCAUAUAUAGCAAGUUUCGUAUUUCCUAUAUGCAUUUCCUAUCCUAUGAAUCAAAAGAAGCCCCUAAUCUAUGACAUGUUCUCACGAUGGCCAAUAUGCAACUACAAGAAAAAUUCCUAUGCAAUUUUCCUAAUCCUCCUAUUCCUAUGCAAUUUUCUAUUACUAUGCAAUUUUCCUAUGAAUCAAAGAAAAGCCCCAUUCCAAUGAAUCAAAGAAAAAGCCCCAAUUUUCCUAUGCAUUUUUCAUAUGAAUCAAGGAAACUAUGACAUGUUCUCGAAAUUCCCAAUCCUCCUAUCCGAAUGCAAUUUUCCUAUCCUAUGAAUCAAAANNNNNNNNNNNNNNNNNNNNNNNNNNNNNNNNNNNNNNNNNNNNNNNNNNNNNNNNNNNNNNNNNNNNNNNNNNNNNNNNNNNNNNNNNNNNNNNNNNNNNNNNNNNNNNNNNNNNNNNNNNNNNNNNNNNNNNNNUAUCCUAUGAAUCAAAAAAAGCCCCAAUUAAAACUAUGACGAGUUUUGUAUUACCUUGCCCACUGAAAGACCAUGACACGAUGUUUGAAACAAAGUUGGACGACGACAACAUCGCGACAAUCGGCCGUGUACUCGAGAUGGAGGCCCAUGAACGUGUGUUUCUCCUCUUGAAGCCAUUCCUCGAACAUGGAAAGAAAAACCGUGACCUUGGCGCUGUCGUUCGUGUAGACGACAUCGAGAUUGGUCGUGCCAUGUGCGAGCACCUUCCCGUAGCGAGUGAUUGGGUUCAUGGUAGAGGAUGGGGAUGGAGGAGAGGGAGACGANNNNNNNNNNNNNNNNNNNNNNNNNNNNNNNNNNNNNNNNNNNNNNNNNNNNNNNNNNNNNNNNNNNNNNNNNNNNNNNNNNNNNNNNNNNNNNNNNNNNNNNNNNNNNNNNNNNNNNNGGAGGAGAGGGAGACGACACAACAGAGGGGGUUAAUCCCCCUGCUAAUCGGCCAGGAUGCAAGCGGACGGGCCAGCGAGGCCGGAGCAGCAGCUGCAGGCGAUGCAGGGCAGGAGGGCAGGAGCAGCAGCAACAACAGCUAGCGGAUGCGCGCAUGCGUGCGAGAGGGCGACCAUGGCAUUGCAGCGAUGGCAGGGUGGGGGCUAGCGAUGGCUGGAGGGGUCUGGGAUGUUGUGGCCGGUCGAGCCAGGCAUGAUGGAGUGCGGCACCGUCGGGGUAGGAAAGGGGGACCGGGGGCGCGGCUGGCCAUGCCGGAGCACGACUGGAUGGGGGAAAAGGUAGGAGCGGCAGCGCCGGGGCCUCAACGGUGGUUGUAGUGGAAGAAGUGGCUUGGUGGAGAUCNNNNNNNNNNNNNNNNNNNNNNNNNNNNNNNNNNNNNNNNNNNNNNNNNNNNNNNNNNNNNNNNNNNNNNNNNNNNNNNNNNNNNNNNNNNNNNNNNNNNNNNNNNNNNNNNNNNNNNNNNNNNNNNNNCGGGGUAGUUCGACGAGGAGGCCGGCCGGAGGUGGAGGAGGGCGAGGGGAGGCGGAGGAGGGAACCCGAUGGUGAGGGGCGGCGUGGAGGCCGGUGGUGGUGGCGCGAGGCGAACCGGCGAGGGAGCCGUCAGAGGUGGCCGGCGGGGCGCAGGGCUCGGCCUCGGCCUCCCUGCCCUGAUCCAGGGUGGACCGGGAGAGAGAGGGAGAUGGUGUGAGGUGGGCUGGGGGUUCGUGGGGNCUGCUGCGAUCCCAUACACUUGUGGGACAUCAAGGCUUUUUCUGGCGCCGUUGCCGGGGAGGCACAACUAUAUUCUCUGAGUCACUUGGGAUUGACGUCUGCUGAUCACUAUGAGGAAUCCGAAAGAUCCAAGAACUAAAAUUUUGCCUUCCACUACGAGGAGAGGUAAGGAACUGCCAUCUAGCUCUGCACUUGAUUCACCUUCAGUUUUGAGUAAGUUCGCGACAUCGCCUCCUGCUAGAAAUCUUGAUAUGUCGCAUGUGGUUGAUGAUGCUACUUCUGCUGUCCAUGAUGCUUAUGAUGCUAUGCUUGAUACUAUGCCUGAUGAUGCUAUGCUAGAUACUAUGCCUGAUGAUGCUAUGCUUGAUACUACUUUUCCACUUGGUGCCCUUGAUGCACAACUUGCUAGAAUUGCUGCUAGAUGUGAUGAUACUUCUGAAACUGCUGGUACUAUUGAAGUAGAACCUGCUACUAUGCCUAUUAUGCCUGAUACACGCUACGUUACAUAGGGAGAGAUAGCUGAGGAUUUUCUUGCGUGUAAGGAUAGCUAUGAUGUUGAUGUUGGGGAACGUCGCAUGGGAAACAAAAAAUUUCCUACGCGCAUGAAGACCUAUCAUGGUGAUGUUCAUUUACGAGAGGGGAUUUCCGAUCUACGUACCCUUGUAGAUUGCACAACAGAAGCGUUAGUGAACGCGGUUGAUGUAGUGGAACGUCCUCACGUCCCUCGAUCCGUCCCGCGAACCGUCCCACGAACCGUCCCGCGAUCCGUCCCACGAUCUAGUGCCGAACGGACGACACCUCCGCGUUCAGCACACGUACAGCUCGACGAUGAUCUCGGCCUUCUUGAUCCAACAAGAGAGACACAGAGGUAGAUGAGUUCUCCGGCAGCGUGACGGCGCUCCGGAGGUUGGUGAUGAUCUUAUCUCGGCAGGGCUCCGCCCGAGCUCCGCAAAGACGCGAUCUAGAGGUAAAACCGUGGAGGUAUGUGGUCGGGCUGCCUUGAAAAAGUUGUCUCAAAUCAGCCCUAAUUGCUCCAUAUAUAUAGGAGGAGGGAGGGGAGGCUUGCCUUCAGGCUCAAGGAGCCCCAAGGGCUGCGCCACCAAGGGGAGGAGGAGUCCUCCUCCAAUCCUAGUCCAACUAGGAUUGGAAGGUGGAGUCCUUCUCUUUUUUCCCACCUUUCCUUUUUUUUUUCUUUCUCUUCUUUUGGUUUUUCUUUCUCUUGCGCAAGACAGCCUUGGGCUGACCCCACCUACUUGGUGCGCCACCCCCAAGGUCCUUGGGCCCUCCCGGGUGGGUGGUCCCCCCUCCCGGUGAAGAUCCGGAACCCAUUCGUCAUUCCCGGUACAUUACCGGUAAUGCCCGAAAACCUUCCGGUAACCAAAUGAAGUCAUCCUAUAUAUCAAUCUUCGUUUCCGGACCAUUCCGGAAACCCUCAUGACGUCCGUGAUCUCAUCCGGGACUCCGAACAACAUUCGGUAACCAACCAUAUAACUCAAAUACGCAUAAAACAACGUCGAACCUUAAGUGUGCAGACCUUGCGGGUUCGAGAAUUAUGUAGACAUGACCCGAGUGACUCCUCGGUCAAUAUCCAAUAGCGGGACCUGGAUGCCCAUAUUGGAUCCUACAUAUUCUACGAAGAUCUUAUCGUUUGAACCUCAGUGCCAAGGAUUCAUAUAAUCCCGUAUGUCAUUCCCUUUGUCCUUCGGUAUGUUACUUGCCUGAGAUUCGAUCGUCAGUAUCCGCAUACCUAUUUCAAUCUCGUUUACCGGCAAGUCUCUUUACUCGUUCCGUAAUACAAGAUCCCGCAACUUAGACUAAGUCACAUUGCUUGCAAGGCUUGUGUGUGAUGUUGUAUUACCGAGUGGGCCCCGAGAUACCUCUCCGUCACACGGAGUGACAAAACCUAGUCUCGAUCCAUACUAACUCAACGAACACCUUCGGAGAUACCUGUAGAGCAUCUUUAUAGUCACCCAGUUACGUUGCAACAUUUGAUACACACAAAGCAUUCCUCCGGUGUCAGUGAGUUAUAUGAUCUCAUGGUCAUAGGAACAAAUACUUGACACGCAGAAAACAGUAGCAACAAAAUGACACGAUCAACAUGCUACGUCUAUUAGUUUGGGUAUAGUCCAUCACAUGAUUCUCCUAAUGAUGUGAUCCCGUUAUCAAGUGACGACACUUGCCUAUGGUCAGGAAACCUUGACCAUCUUUGAUCAACGAGCUAGUCAACUAUACAAUGUUUUGUCUAUGUAUCCACACAUGCACUGUGUUAACAAUCAAUACAAUUAUAGCAUGGAUAGUAAACGAUUAUCAUGAACAAAAAAGUAUAAUAAUAACUAAUUUAUUAUUGCCUCUAGGGUAUAUUUCCAACAGUCUCCCACUUGCACUAGAGUCAAUAAUCUAGUUCACUUCACCAUGUGAUUCCAACGAAUCCAACACCCAUAUAGUCAUGGGGUCUGAUCACGUCUUGCUUGUGAGAGCGGUUUUAGUCAACGGUUCUGAAACUUUUAGACCCGUGUGUUCUUUACAAAUCUUCAUGUCAUCUUAUAGAUGCUGCUACUAUGUGCUAUUCGGAAAUACUCCAAAUAUCUACUCUACUAUACGAAUCCGUUUCACUACUCAUAGUUAUUCGGAUUAGUGUCAAAGCUUUCAUCGACGUAACCCUUUACGACGAACUCUUUAACCACCUCCAUAAUCGAGAAAAAUUCCUUAGUCCAUCAGUUACUAAGGAUAAAUUUUGACCGCUGCUAGUGAUUCAAUCAUGGAUCACUCUCUGUACCUCUCAACAGACUUUGAGUCAAGGCACACAUCAGGUGUGGUACCCAGCAUGGCAUACUUCAGAUUCUACGGCCAAGGCAUAGAAGACGACCUUCGUCUAUUCUCUUUAUUUUGCCGGGGUCGGGUUUUGAGUCUUACUCAAAUUCACACCUCACAACGCAACCAAGAACUCCUUCUUUGCUGAUCUAUUUUGAACUCCUUCAAAAACUUGUCAAGGCAUGGAUCUUGUUGAAACUUCCAUUAAGCGCUUUCGAUCUAUCUCCAUAGAUCUUUGAUGCUCAACGUUCAAGUAGCGCAAUCCAGGUACUCCUUUGAAAACUCCUUUCAAACAACCUUGUAUGCUUUACAGAAAUUCUAUAUUACUUCUGAUCCACAAUAUGUCAACCACAUAUACUUAUCAGAAAUUCUAUAGUGCUCCCACUCACUUCUUUGGAAAUACAAGUUUCUCAUAAACCUUGUACAAACCGAAAAUCUUUGAUCAUCUCAUCAAAGUGUAUAUUCCAACUCCGAGAUGCUUGCACCAGUCCAUUGAAGGAUCGCUGGAGCUUGCAUACUUGCUAGUAUCUUUAGGAUCGACAAAACCUCCUGGUUGUAUCACAUACAAUGUUUGCUCAAGGAAACCGUCGAGGAAACAAUGUUUUGACAUCCUAUGUGCAAUAUUUCAUAAAUAAUGCAAAAACUACUAACAUAAUUCUAACAGACUUUUAGCAUCGCUACGAGUGAGAAAGUCUCAUCAUAGUCAACUGUUUGAUCUUGUCGGAAACAUCUUUGCGACAAGUCGAGCUUUUCUUAAUAGUGACUUAUCACCAUCAUCGUCUGUCUUCCUUUUAAAGAUCCAUCUUUACUCAACAGUCCUAUGACCAUCAAGUAGUUCUUCCAAAGUCUACACUUUGUUUUCAUACAUGGAUCCUCUCUCGGAUUUCAUGGCUUCCAGCCAUUUGUCGGAAUCCGGGCCCACCAUUGCUUUCUCCAUAACUCGUAGGUUCACUGUUGCUCAACAACAUGACCUCCAAGACAGGGUUACCAUACCAAUCUGCAGUAGUACGCGACCUAGUCAACCUACGAGGUUUGUAGUAACUUGAUCCGAUGCUCAAUGAUCACCAUCAUCAGCUUUCACUUCAAUUGGUGUAGGCGCCACAGGAAUAACUUCCUGCGCCCUGCUACACACUGGUUAAAGCGAUGGUUCAAUAACCUCAUUAAGUUCUACCACCCUCCCACUCAAUACUUUCGAGAUAAACCUUUCCUCGAGAAAGGAUCCGUUUCUAGGAACAAACACUUUGCUUUCGGAUCUGAGAUAGGAGAUGUACCCAACUGUUUUGGAUAUCCUAUGAAGAUGCAUUUAUCCGCUUUGGGUUUGAGCUUAUUCGACUGAAACUUUUUUCACACAAGUGUCGAAGCCCCAAACUUUCAAGAAACGACAGUUUAGAUUUCUCUAAACCUCAGUCUAUACUGUGUCAUCUCAACGGAAAUACGCGGUGCCCUAUUUAAAGUGAAUGCGGUUGUCUCUAAUGCAUAACCCAUAAACGAUAGUGGUAAUUCGAUAAGAGACAUCAUAGCAUGCACCAUACCAAAUAGUGUGUGGCUAUGACGUUCAGACACAUCAUCACACUAUGAUGUUCCAGGUGGCAUGAACUGCGAAACAAUUUCCACAUUGUCUUAACUGCGUACCAAAACUCGUGACUCAGAUAUUCAUUUCUAUGAUCAUAUCGUAGACAGUUUAUCCUCUUGUUAUGACGAACUUCACUCCGAAACAGAAUUGAACUUUUCAAUAUUUCAAACUUGUGAUUCAUUAAGUAAAUACUCUUGUAUCCACUCAAAUCGUCAUUGAAGUAAGAACAUAAUGAUAUCCACUGCGUGCCUCAGCACCCAUUGGACUGCAUACAUAAAAAAUGUAUCACUUCCAACAAGUUACUAUCUUGUUUCAUCUCAAUGAAAACAAGGCCUUGCUCAUGUGGUAUGAUUUGCAUGUCACUAGUGAUUCAAAAUCAAGUGAGUAUAAAGAUCCAUCAGCAUGGAGCCUCUUCAUGCAAUUUACACCAACAUGACUCAAGCGGCAGUGCCACAAGUAAGUGGUACUAUCAUCAUUACCUCGUAUCUUUUGGCACCAAUAUCAUGAACAUGUGUAACACUACGAUCGAGAUUCAAUAAACCAUUGAAGGUGAUUAUUCAAGAAAAUAGAGUAACCAUUAUUCUAUUUAAAUGAAUAAUCGUAUUGCAAUAAACACGAUCCAAUCAUGUUCAUGCUUAACGCAAGCACCAAAUAAAAAUUAUUUCGGUUUAACACCAAUCCCGAUGGUAGAGGGAGCGUGCGACGUUUGAUCAUAUCAACCUUGGGAACACUUCCAACACGUAUCGUCACCUCGCCUUUAGCUAGUCUCCGUUUAUGCCUUAGCUUUCAUUUCGUGUUACUAAUCACUUAGCAACCGAACCGGUAUCCAAUACCCUCGUGCUACUAGGAGUACUAGUAAAGUACACAUCAACAUCAUGUAUAUCAAAUAUACUUCUUUCGACUUUUGCCAGCCUUCUUAUCUACCAAGUAUCUAGAGUUGCUCCGCCUCAGUGACCGUUCCCCUCAUAACAGAAGCACUUAGUCCCGGGCUUGGGUUUAAUCUGGGUCUAUUCAUUACUGCAGCAACUGUUUUGCCGUUUCGUGAAGUAUCCCUUCUAGCCCUUGCCUUUCUUGAAACUUAGUGGUUUUACUAACCAUCAACUAUUGAUCUCCUUCUUGAUUUCUACUUUCGCAGUGUCAAACAUCGCGAAUCGCUCAAGGAUCAUCGUAUCUAUCCUUGAUAUGUUAUAGUUCAUCACGAAGCUCUCACAGCUUGGUGGCAGUGACUUUGGAGAACCAUCACUAUCUCAUCUAGAAGAUUAACUCCCACUUGAUUCAAGUGAUUGUGGUACUCAGACAAUCUGAGCACACGCUCAACGAUUGAGCUUUUCUCCUUUACUUUGUGGACAAAGAAUCUUGUCGGAGGUCUCGUACCUCUUAACAAGGGCACAAGCAUGAAAUCACAAUUUCAUCUCUUUAGAACAUCACUUAUGUUCCGUGACGUUUCAAAACGUCUUCGGCGCCUUGCUUCUAAGCCAUUAAGUAUUUUGCAGUGAACUAUCGUGUAGUCAUCAGAAACGUGUAUGUCGGAUGUUCACAACAUUCACAGACGACGCUCGAGGUGCAGCACACGGAGUGGUGCAUUAAGGACAUAAGCCUUCUGCGCAGCAAUGAGGACAAUCCUCUGCAAAGUUUGCUACUAUCAACUUUCAACUAAAUUUUCUCUAGGAACACAUAAAAACAGUAGAGCUAUAGCACAAGCUACAUCGUAAUUCGCAAAGACCAUUAGACUAUGUUCAUGACAAUUAGUUCAAUUAAUCAUAUUACUUAAGAACUCCCACUCAAAAAGUACAUCUCUCUAGUCAUUUGAGUGGUACAUGAUCCAAAUCCACUAUCUCAAGUCCGAUCAUCACGUGAAUCGAGAAUAGUUUCAGUGGUAAGCAUCUCUAUGCUAAUCAUAUCAACUAUACGAUUCAUGCUCGACCUUUCGGUCUCAUGUGUUCCGAGGCCAUGUCUGCACAUGCUAGGCUCGUCAAGCUUAACCCGAGUGUUCCGCGUGUGCAACUGUUUUGCACCCGUUGUAUGUGAACGUUGAGUCUAUCACACCCGAUCAUCACGUGGUGUCUCGAAACGUAGAACUGUCGCAACGGUGCACAGUCGGGGAGAACACAAUUUCGUCUUGAAAUUUUAGUGAGAGAUCACCUCAUAAUGCCACCGUCGUUCUAAGCAAGAUAAGGUGCAUAAAGGAUUAACAUCACAUGCAAUUCAUAAGUGACAUGAUAUGGCCAUCAUCAUGUGCUUCUUGAUCUCCAUCACCAAAGCACCGGCACGAUCUUCUUGUCACCGGCGUCACACCAUGAUCUCCAUCAUCAUGAUCUCCAUCAACGUGUCGCCAUCGGGGUUGUCGUGCUACUCAUGCUAUUACUACUAAAGCUACAUCCUAGCAAUAUAGUAAACGCAUCUGCAAGCACAAAUGUUAGUUUAAAGACAACCCUAUGGCUCCUGCCGGUUGCCGUACCAUCGACGUGCAAGUCGAUAUUAACUAUUACAACAUGAUCAUCUCAUACAUCCAAUAUAUCACAUCACAUCGUUGGCCAUAUCACAUCACAAGCAUACCCUGCAAAAACAAGUUAGACGUCCUCUAAUUGUUGUUGCAUGUUUUACGUGGUGACCAUGGGUAUCUAGUAGGAUCGCAUCUUACUUACGCAAACACCACAAUGGAGAUGUAUGAAUUGCUAUUUAACCUCAUCCAAGGACCUCCUCGGUCAAAUCCGAUUCAACUAAAGUUGGAGAAACCAACACUUGCCAGUCAUCUUUGAGCAACGGAGUUACUCGUAGCGAUGAAACCAGUCUCUCGUAAGCGUACGAGUAAUGUCGGUCCAAGCCGCUUCAAUCCAACAAUACCGCGGAAUCAAGAAAAGACUAAGGAGGGCAGCAAGACGCACAUCACCGCGCACAAAAACUUUUGUGUUCUACUCGAGAUUACAUCUACGCAUGAACCUAGCUCAUGAUGCCACUGUUGGGGAACGUCGCAUGGGAAACAAAAAAUUUCCUACGCGCACGAAGACCUAUCAUGGUGAUGUUCAUCUACGAGAGGGGAUUUCCGAUCUACGUACCCUUGUAGAUCGCACAGCAGAAGCAUUAGUGAACGCGGUUGAUGUAGUGGAACGUCCUCACGUCCCUCGAUCCGCCCCGCGAACCCUCCCACGAACCGUCCCACGAUCCGUCCCACGAUCUAGUGCCGAACGGACGGCACCUCCGCGUUCAGCACACGUACAGCUCGACGAUGAUCUCGGCCUUCUUGAUCCAGCAAGAGAGACGGAGAGGUAGAUGAUUUCUCCGGCAGCGUGACGGCGCUCCAGAGGUUGGUGAUGAUCUUAUCUCGGCAGGGCUCCGCCCGAGCUCCGCAGAGACGCGAUCUAGAGGUAAAACCUUGGAGGUAUGUGGUCGGGCUGCCUUGAAAAAGUUGUCUCAAAUCAGCCCUAAUUUCUCCAUAUAUAUAGGAGGAGGGAGGGGAGGCUUGCCUUGAGGCUCAAGGAGCCCCAAGGGCUGCCCCACCAAGGGGAGGAGGAGUCCUCCUCCAAUCCUAGUCCAACUAGGAUUGAAAGGUGGAGUCCUUCUCUCUUUUCCCACCUUUCCUUUUUUUUCUUUCUCUUCUUUUGGUUUUUCUUUCUCUUGCGCAAGACAGCCUUGGGAUGACCCCACCUACUUGGUGUGCCACCCCCAAGGUCCUNNNNNNNNNNNNNNNNNNNNNNNNNNNNNNNNNNNNNNNNNNNNNNNNNNNNNNNNNNNNNNNNNNNNNNNNNNNNNNNNNNNNNNNNNNNNNNNNNNNNAAGUUUUUGUGUUUGUGCAGGAUCUUGAGAUACUCCUCCACUGGAUUGAUACCUGGGUUCUCAAACUGAGGGAAAUACUUACCACCGCUGUGCUACAUCACCCUUUCCACUUCGAGGGAACACCAACACAAGGCUCCAAGGCCACGGGGGAAAUCCUUUGCAUACUUGCCUAGGAAGUCCCUUAAGGCGUAGCCGCAGCUGAAGGAUUCCUGGUGCCGUCGACAUGACUAUUCUUGGCGUCGUUGCAAGGGAAGCACAACUGACAUCAGAAGUAUUUCUGGCGCUGUCGCCGGGGAUCUUUUUGAGGUAGCAGAAGUAUUUCUGGCGCCGUUGCCGGGGAGGAGGAUCGCUUGCUGAGGAAGAUCAAGAUAAGAAUAAUCUCCCGUCAACACGCUAUUUCUGGCACCGUUGCCGGGGAGGAGAAAUCAAGAUCUAUCCAAGUAGGUCUCACAAACUCAUCUCUUGCAUUUACUUUUGUUGCUAGUUGCCUCUCGUUUUCCUCUCCCCCACUUCACAUUUGCCUUUUCCUAGUAACUCCUCUAACAAUUAUGGCAAUUCCUACGGCAACACUUAUGGAAAUCACAACAAAUUACCCUCUAAUUUAGAGAGUAAUAUCAAAGAGUUCAUCAACUCUCAAAAGAUUUUCAAUGCGUCCAUAGAGGAAAAACUACUCAAAAUAGACGAUUUGGCUAAGAGCGUUGAUAGGAUGUCUUGUGAUAUUGAUUCUUUGAAAGUUAGAUGCGCUCCUCCCAAGGUGAACUUGGAUGAAACUUUGAAAGCUAUGCGUAUCUCCAUGAAUGAGAGCAAAGAAAGAACCGCCCAAAUUCGCGCUAGACAUGAAUGGUUUAAAAGGGUGCGUUCUAGUGAUGCAAAUCACGAAGAUCUUAAAGUGCUUGGUGUGUCUCCUCUUGAAUCUUUGUUUUCGCAUGUCAAACCUACUUAUGGAGGGGCUGGAUAUGAAUCCACUUUGGUUUAAAAACGCCCCAAUGAUUCGGAGUCCACCUAUCUUGAUGAUAAAGGUGUGGAGAGUGGAGUAGAAAAAUUCAAAAUUUUGGGUAGUAAUGAAACUCCCACUUUGGAUUUCAAGGAAUUCAAUUAUGAUAAUUGAUCCUUGUUUGAAUGCAUUUCUUUGAUGCAAUCCAUUGCAAACUCUCCACAUGCUUAUAGCCAAAGCAAAGCCUUUACCGCGCAUAUCGUAGAUGCUAUGAUGAAAUCUCUUCAAGAGAAGCUCGAACUAGAAGUCUCUAUACCUAGAAAACUUCAUGAUGAGUGGGAACCUACUAUAAAAAUCAAGAUAAAAAACUAUGAGUGCAAUGCUUUGUGUGAUUUGGGUGCUAGUGUUUCCGCGAUUCCAAAGUCUUUAUGUGAUAUUCUUGGUUUUCAUGAGAUUGAAGAGUGUUCUCUUAAUUUGCAUCUUACGGAUUCUACUGUCAAGAAACCCAUGGGGAGGAUCGAUGAUGUUCUUAUUGUUGCAAAUAAGAACUAUGUACCCGUGGAUUUCAUUGUACUUGACAUAGAUUGCAAUCCUUCAUGUCCCAUUAUUCUUGGUAGACUUUCCUAAGGACUAUUUGUGCUAUCAUCGAUAUGAAGGAAGGGAAUAUUAGAUUUCGAUUUCCUUUAAAGAAGGGCAUGGAGCACCUUCCUAGAAAGAAAAUAAGAUUGCCUUAUGAAUCUAUGAUGAGGGCUACCUAUGGUUUGAGCACCAAAGAUGACUAUACGUGAUUCCAUCACUUUCGCCUAGCUAAGGGCGUUAAACAAAAGCGCUUGUUGGGCGGCAAACCAACGAAUCUAUCCUUUUUCUUUCUGUUUUGCGUUUUCCACACUUUCAUAAUUCUGUUAUGAUUGUGUUUUUUGUGUUUCUUUUUGCGUUUGUGCCAAGCAAAACCGUUAUGAUUAGUCUUGGGGAUGAUCGUUUGGUCAUGCUGGAAAAGACAGAAACUUUCUGCUCACGAAAAGAAUUUUCAUUUUUGUUUUGUAAGAGAUUUUGAGUUGAUUCUUUUUGCUGCUGAUUUCUACACAAAUUCUUCAGACUGUCGUAAUUUUUCAGAAUUUUUGAAGUACCAUAGGUAUACGAAAUAUACAGAUUGCUACAGACUGGUCUGCUGUUAACAAAUUCUGUUUUUGUUGUGUUGGUUGCUUAUUUUGAUGAAACUAUGGAUAGUAUAGGGGGUAUUAGCCAUGGAAGAUUGAAAGUACAGUAACCCAACAUCAGCACAAGUAGAAUUUAAGUUUGCUACAAUACCUAAGGAAGUGGUGGUUUGCUUUCUUGUACUAAUGUUAUCACGAGUUUCUGUUUAAGUUUCGUGUUGUGAAGUUUUCAAGUUUUGGGUGAAGUUCUUAUGGACAAAGAGUUAAAGAGUGGCAAGAUCUCAAGCUUGGGGAUGCCCAAGGCACCCCAAGAGAUUCAAGGAUGUCGUAAAAGCCUAAGCUUGGGAUGCCCCGGGAAGACAUCCCCUCUCUCGUCUUCAAUCCAUCGGUAACGUUACUUGGGGCUAUAUUUUUAUUCACCACAUGUUAUGUUUUUUUGCUUGGAGCGUCUUGUAUCGUAGGAUUCUUAUAUUUUUGUUGUGUCAAAAUCAUCCUUGCUGCACACCUAGAGAGAAGGACAUGCACACACCGUGAUUUUCUCGAGCUUCACUUAUAUCUUUUGGUAGUCAAUUCAGCUCACAUGUGCUUCACUUAUAUAUUUUGAGCUAGAUAAUUUUUCUCUAUGUGCUUCACUUAUAACUUUUAGAGUGCAGCGGUGCGUGGCUUGGUAGUUGAUCUAUGCUUUGAAAGUAGUCUCAAAAGGGGUAGUUAUCCAAAGGGAUACAAAAACUUCCACCUUCAUGUGCAUUGAAUAGUUAGAGAAGUUUGAUUCAUCUCAAUUAGUUUUNNNNNNNNNNNNNNNNNNNNNNNNNNNNNNNNNNNNNNNNNNNNNNNNNNNNNNNNNNNNNNNNNNNNNNNNNNNNNNNNNNNNNNNNNNNNNNNNNNNNCUCCCCCACUUCACUUUUGCCGUUUUCAUUUGCCUUUCUCCUUUGCCUUUUUCGUUCACCCUUUUCUCUCGCUUGCUUUCUGUUCACUUGUGUGCCAUGUGCCCUCAAUAUGUUUGCAUCUUCGCUUGCUGAAAAUCUAGUGAUAUGGAUCCUCAUCCACUUGCUAGUCUCUUUAAGAGACCCACUCGUGUGGAACAAAUUGCUAGUGAGUUGAGGGCAAUUAACUAUUUCUUUGGAGUUUUGCGUAAGAUGCNNNNNNNNNNNNNNNNNNNNNNNNNNNNNNNNNNNNNNNNNNNNNNNNNNNNNNNNNNNNNNNNNNNNNNNNNNNNNNNNNNNNNNNNNNNNNNNNNNNNNNNNNNNNNNNNNNNNNNNNNNNNNNNNNNNNNNNNNNNNNNNNNNNNNNNNNNNNNNNNNNNNNNNNNNNNNNNNNNNNNNNNNNNNNNNNNNNNNNNNNNNNNNNNNNNNNNNNNNNNNNNNNNNNNNNNNNNNNNNNNNNNNNNNNNNNNNNNNNNNNNNNNNNNNNNNNNCCUAAGCUUGGGGAUGCUAGUUUUGCUAUGACCACUACUUACUGCAAUAAUCAUGAUUGGGGUGAUGAUCUUUCUUAUGAUCUUGAAAAUUUGUUCAAACCUCAUGAUGAAUAUGAUAUUUGCAACANNNNNNNNNNNNNNNNNNNNNNNNNNNNNNNNNNNNNNNNNNNNNNNNNNNNNNNNNNNNNNNNNNNNNNNNNNNNNNNNNNNNNNNNNNNNNNNNNNNNNNNNNNNNNNNNNNNNNNNNNNNNNNNNNNNNNNNNNNNNNNNNNNNNNNNNNNNNNNNNNNNNNNNNNNNNNNNNNNNNNNNNNNNNNNNNNNNNNNNNNNNNNNNNNNNNNNNNNNNNNNNNNNNNNNNNNNNNNNNNNNNNNNNNNNNNNNNNNNNNNNNNNNNNNNNNNNNNNNNNNNNNNNNNNNNAUCCCACAUGUAAUUGCUAUGAGAGAGGAAAAUAUUGUGGUAGAAACUCUCAUGUUACCCAAUUACCUCUCAUUAUGUUGAGAUUGCUAUUGUCUCUUUCUUCUUCCUUUCAUUUGGUAACUAUUGGUUGUCUUGCCAAUUUGUUUCUCUAUAAAAGGCCUAUGCAUAGGAAGUAUGUUAGACUUAGAUGUGAUUUUCACAUGCUUUNNNNNNNNNNNNNNNNNNNNNNNNNNNNNNNNNNNNNNNNNNNNNNNNNNNNNNNNNNNNNNNNNNNNNNNNNNNNNNNNNNNNNNNNNNNNNNNNNNNNAUCAUCGGAGGGUGUGUGGAGAUUUGUCUCCAAUGUAUCUCUCGGGAUUCAGUUGGUGUUUGUCUUUGCUGGAUUCACGUGGAUCCGGUAUCUUUUCGUGUGUCUAAAGAUUGGAUCCUUUUGAUCCAAGCUUCUCUUCGAUGGCGAGGGUUGCUGUUUUGGUGCGCUGGUUGAUGGUGUCCUCGAUUAGGGGUUACUCACCAUGUUAUCUCCCAGUCAGAAAGGUCGGGCCGAGGACCCCCAUGACGGUUCAUUAACCGGACACUUGGAGAGGCCCAUGUCACAUACAAGGGAGGUUCCACAAGAGUUGACGCACAAGACGAGGACUCCUGUUACCCGUGGCUUCGAAUGCAUUAUAUAAACUGAGGCUAGACUAGUCUUACACAACAUUCUCCUGUUAGAUACACGUACUCUCAUCAACACAAUUCCUAGGUGGAAAUUUGUGCAUAGCAACCUUUUGAGAAUCAUUGAACUUUUAUGCUAGCUUUUUCUUUUUCUUUUCUCAGAUUGAGACACAUGCUUUUUAGGCGACAUUUUUAUAGAAAAGGAGCAUGAACACCUGAAUCGUGAGUGGAAAAAUUGAAGAAAUNN
rnacentral:lncRNA from 1 species